GCCACAUGUGCUCCACGUCGCCCAGUAUGUGUUGUCCACUUGUUAGACAUGAAAAUUCGCCACAUGUGCCGGGACGUGUGAAAAUGUGAAGGUAAAAAGUCUAACAUUGGAAAGUAGAGAAACCUAGUAAGGGCUUAUAAGGAGUUGGGUUACUUCCUCCAUUGCCAAUUAGUUUUGGGGUAGAACCUUAACUUUCUUCAAGAAUAUUAUCCCAUACACACACAUAAACCUAGAAUACAAAUACCAAAUUGUCGUAUACCUAAAUGUUCUUGUAUAAGACAAUAUGGCAUGUUAUGCAUCAAACUAUGUUAAGUUCAUAGCGAAAAUUUGAUAGUCUGAUAAGAGAAUACUAUCCCAUACAUAAAUAGAUAAAGGAGAGUUAAAGGGUAGGGAUGUUUACCUUAAACCAUAAUAAGUCUCGUUGCAUUUGAAGGGCAGGUUUUGGCACCAUAUUCGAUUGAUGUGGCGGAGCUAACUGUGCCGCUAAGUGCAGGAUAUUGGAUUUUUUGUCAUCUUUGAAUGAGAGCACGAAAUCCUUGUAUAAACCUAACUUAUGUACGAGAUUGAAGAUUCCUGCAUGAUGGUACAUAACUGCGACGUGAAAUAAACUUCGAUUGCAAUCAUCUGUUUCCCAUAUCAAAUCCGGGUAAGACCCAAUCAGCUCAGCCACGAACUCAAGGUUUCCUAGUUUUGUUGCCAUGAAUAAUACAUGUGAAGGCUUCCUUAUCACGUCCGUCACCGUCCGGUCACUUUGCCACAUAAUCUCUUCCCAAAGGCGUUUCAAUAAUUGAAGGCCGGGAGUUCUUUUCAAUCUUCCCCUAUUUGUACCUUGAAUAAGUCAAGAAGUAGUGUUUGAGCUUAAAUUUAUAUUAUGGAAAAAAUCACUAGCUACUUUUUUUUUUUUUUUUCUCUAUAAAUUUUCUAUUGAAAGUUAAUUACAUAAGCUAAUGCUAAGUUUGAUUUAGGUUUCUUGCUCUUGGGUUAACCUGGACUCAAAUAUUUAUUAUCAUACACGAUUAAUUAAACUAAUUGGGUUAGAGUUUACUAAGAUUUAACUUGAACACAAAAUAAUAUGACAAACAUAACGGAACAAAACGCAAUGGCCACCCUUACUGAUUAAGGACAUGUUUAGAAGUGAUUCUGGUCCACCCAGAAUCACUUAUGGGGAUAAGAACCUCUAGGUGCUUCUCCACAUAAUCACUUUACGUGAUUUUAAGUGAUUAUGAGUUAGCCUAUCUAGAAUCACUCCCAAACAAACCCUAAAGACAUAGCAAGAGUAAACUAAGCUUGAGGUGUAAUGAGGCAAGAAUUACAAGAGUAAGCGAAGCACUUCCAUAUUCCUGAGCUUUUGGUGGCUAGUGCUGAAGGCUUCCGAGCUAGCAAAUGCAAGGCUGUCUCACUAUUGGGGUCACGAGCCACUACUAGCUCCGGGUAGCCAUGAACCAUUUUCAAGGCUAGUUCUGCAUAUUAAACAACAACAACAACAAGGACAGUGUUAAUUCCCACACGCAAUCCGAAAUUAAAAAUUAAAAGCAAAAACAUCAUGAUAAUUAACGAAAACGCUUGCCAUAUAAGUCAUUGUUAAUGCAGGUGAAAAAUAUCCCAACUCGUUCCCAUUCAUCAACAAGUUUGAUGAGUUUAGGGUAGAGAUACGAUGCCGUCUCGUCAUGUCCAAACAAAGCUGCAAGAUAGAGUGGUGUCAUUUGUUUACCACCCCGAAUUUCUGGCACCCUCGGAUUCUUUCGUAUCAUCAUGUGAGCCACUGGUAGAGUUCCAGCUGCAACAGCAAAACAAAAGGCCGUGUUCCCAUUUUGAUCUUGCAAGAUUAGGUCUUGUUUAUCCAACAGUUUCAGCAACUUCUUCACAAAGUAAACACGUUUUGCUCCCGCCGCAACAUGAAGAACAGUGUGCCAUCCUUUUGUGAUACAGGCACGUACGAUGGUCUUAUCUUUAUUUAUGAUUUUUUUGGCCGAUUUCCAGUCACCUUCUAAUGCAGCCUUGUAUAGGGGCACGCAUUUUGUGAAGUAUUCUUGCUUUGCUUCCGCUGUAAAGAUUUGAAACAUGCAUGAAUAUAAUACACAGAGAGUCUCUGUUGAGGGAUCCAGAAUUAAGAGAGAGAUAAACUUACGAGAAUCUUCUAGUGUAUGCCGGGAAGCUGUUCUACUAGGAGCUGGCACCGUGAGCGAAGUGGGAAAAGUAAAAUCUGUGUCACAGAUCUCAUUAGCAUCGUCUUUUUGGGAGCCAGCGAAUAUACUUAAUGGAUGUGGUUCUUGUAAUGGUCUGCGAGGUGUUGAGCUGAAAUUUUCUGCUGCCAUUUCUUCGAAUAUAACAUGCCAUUAGAGAGAUAGAGAAGUCAGUACUUUGUGUGAGCUUUCAAAUUUAUAUGGAAUUACAUUUUAAUAUAAAUUGAUAAAGGAAAACUAAAUUCAUUGUUUGUACACCAAUUAUCUUGAUUAAUACGUCUAUAUAGUUCGUGACAUGAUGGUGAUAGAACUCUAUACGUACAAGCAAAGCAAGAUUACGCAAAUAAACCAAAACCUAGAAAGAUCAAACGCAAGACAUCAUUGAAGAAUUCAAAUUAAGGUUUAAGCUUAAUAUUAUAUAUAUAUUUAGGAGGGCCAAGGAGACAAAUCACAAUUUGGCCCAUGUCCACUAAAUAGGAGAAACACUCUUUGAUAGAGAAAUGUUAAAAGACACAUUUCAAACUCAUAACAAUUUACCCAUGUAAACUUAUAUAAGCCUUAGGCAACUAACGGAGUCUAGUCUAGUUGAAAAGGGCAUUGACCUGUAGAUUAGUGUUCUUAAGUUCAAGCCCCCAUGGCACCUUGGUAGUGUAUGUGUGAGAAACCUCCCCUCCCUCUCUAGUUCAGACUAUCUCUUGUACACAAAUUCUAUAAUAAUUACGGUUAAAGACAUGAGAUUCGAGAAUUGUUGGCGUUUACUACAUACGUAUUGUUGUCACGUAGACAAUAUUUCUUCCAUUUGCCGACUUGUUUAGAUAUAUAUUAUAAUUAUUGUCAAAUGAUAAUUGAUCUCAAACUAGAUAUCCUUGUAUGAAACUCAGUUUUAAAUGAAUGCUUACAUGAGGACUUGUUUAGAUGUAUGGUUAUAUUAUGUACCCUCGUAGUCAAGACUAAAAUUAUAAAGGGAGAUUUACUAUAGUACUCAAUAUAUGAGCCUAAUUCUUUUUUUUUUUUUUAUAAAAAAAACCCCUAUAUUAAAUGGACUUUAGAAACACACCCAAAGCCCAUUUACAACAUAACAAAAAGGCUUUUAACUUCUUUUAAAUUACAAAACUAUCAUUGAUUUCUUAAAACAAACCCAACCCAAAAACCUCAUAAAAAAGCCCAAAACACUCAAUAGGGCAUCAAAGUAAUUUAAUAAUUAAAAUUAAAUUCAAUAGAACCAGCUGUCAUUUUUUGGGUUUGUUUAUAGAAAUUAAAUUGUAUAUGGUUUAUUUAUAGUUUUAAUGUUAAGAAUGGGUAUAUGACUAAAUAUCUCAAUUAUAAAACCUAACUACUUAUUUUUAACUCCUUAUGACUGUUUGAUCAAAGUUCAAAAAACUCCAACGAUCAAAAUUCAAAAUUACUCUUUGCUAAAAAAAACUAAAGAAAGAAUAAUUCUCACAUUUUUUUUGUUAUUUUAUCAAGAUUAAAUAGAUACUACUAGAAGAAAUAGUUAUGACGUGUAUACUUGAGAAGACUAAAUACCAUAUGAUUAUGAAUUUGGCUCCUCCUCCUUAUUCUGUCAAAAUUCAAAUCGCGUGAUUGAUUAAGUUAAUAUAUCUAUGACAAUUGAGGACAAGAAGAAAAUGCACUACGAAAACACAGAAUUCCUACCUAUCUAUGUCGUGUUUAAUAUAAAAAAGGUAUAUAUUGACACCUUUCAUCAUGGGUAAGCAUGAACUAAUUUCUGAGUAUUUUAUGUUUUGUUGUUCAUGAACCCAUGGCUUACAUAGUCAUGUCCCUACUUAAAAUAUAUGUUAAAGAUAAGGCUGAUAGACGAAAUAAUAUAUAUAUAUAUAUAUAUAUAUACACACACAUAUGAAACAAAUAUAAGGUUAACAACAGCUAUCAUCAUAAUAAAAUAUGUGAAAACCAAAAGGAUUGACCAAAUCAGUACUUAAGGAGCUAUAUAUAAUUUGGUUAUAUGGUACUUAAUUAUUCUGGGGUUACAGCUAGGGAGACAUGGGUUUUAUCUCUCUAAGUUGAAAAAUGUGAAAUGCAGUCGCCCACGCGUAAGUAGGAAGUUCAUGACUCUUCCAUGUUUGUUUUAUCCUAUUCUGAAUGUAAAAUUAGUUUUGAAAUGUAGGACCUGGUUUUCUCAUCAUAUUUGAAGCUGUAGAUGGCCCUCCCCUUCAUCUAUGGCUGAGUUUUGGAUAGAGGCAUAGUGAAGGAUGACAAGCAAAAGUAGCUAAGACCAUGUAACCCUUCAAAUUACGAUAGAAGUAAUGAUUUUAUCUUUUGGAAGCUAAUCAUUUCCAAAUUCAAGAAAUAAACUUUAAACCCUAAGCACUAAACGAUGAUUUUAUACUUAAUGAUAAAUCCAGUUAGAAUCAUGAUCAAACAAUCCCUCUGGGAAGACAACUUCCCCAUGGAAAGGGUUUAUUCCUCAUGAAUCCAUUACAAGUUAUCGCCCUUCCGACACUAAAGUGGCUCUAUAAUCGUGUAGCGUAAGAGAAUAAUGUGCAUAUAUAUUACAAGUUCACUACCUCCCCUUCUCUCUGCACCUCUUAUAACUAACAUGAUGAGAAAUGCAAAGUAUGGCGGUCUCACCAGAUGAACGAUGCAGAGAGAGGGGAUCGUGAACCUGUUGCAUGCAAGUUUUAGUAUAAAGAUAAGUAGUACCUACAUAGAUUUGAUCGUUGUUGUGGAGCUCUAGUUCUGAUACAUGGUGAAAGAAACCAACAGGAAAUCAUUGACAUACUUUAAAGUCCACCAAUCUGGAUACGAUCUCCACAUAAUCAGAAUUUCCAUUUCCCUGGAGAAUAAAGUAAUUAGACAUAUAAAAGAAAAAAGGACAACGAAUGAAGUACAAGAACUCGUAUGACACAAAAGUGGCGCUAAAAUGCAUACCUUCUCCGUGUAAGUCCUUCUCGACAAUAUAACUUGACAGAGUACCCGACCACCGGAAAGAGUCCUUCUUUAUAAGUACUGAUCUCCCGAAAACAUUUUACAGAAACACCCUUCAAGCUAAAACUGACAUCAUACACGCAAAAAUGAAUAUUAUAUUGUUAAUUACUUUCCAUAUGUCAGUUGGUGUGAUGUCGUUGUUGUAGAUGAACUCCUUUGAAGAAGAUGAGUUGAUACCAAGUCAGAACUAGCUAAUUUACUAUAUCCUUAAUAUUUUACAUUUGAUUCAAUAUAACCAAAUUUUUCUUUUUCUUUAUAUAUAUAUUUGGUGUAUUAAUUUUUUUAAAAAAUCCAGAAAGAGUUUACUUUUAAAAAAAAAAUAAUAUGGAGCUUAUGUCAUGGCACAAAUGGCGUGAUCUUGCUGCUAGACCUAGAAUCAUGGAUGCUGUCAUUGGCAAUUUGGCGUGGAUCCUGUCGGUUUGACUACGUACCAUUAUUCGAUUCUAGCAUGCAGGCCUCAAAUCUUUUUAUUAAAGAGAUUGUUUCAUUUCAUAUUGCCAAAUUUUAGAUAUGAGGUUCUGUUCGGAUGGAGAUAUUUGAAAGAAAUAUGUAUAUUAUUUGGAUUUGAUAAGAAAGUUAAAUUUGCUAAUAAAUAUAUAUAUAUAUCUAUCGUAUAUACCUUGAAAUAAUCAGAUGUCCAUAACAUUUAGAAUGGAUUUGAAAUGACUAUAUACAAGAAAAUGUGAUCUAAAUCUCUAUAUACAAGGGAUAUUGUAUCAACCAGUCUAUAGUAUAGUGCAUGGUUUGCUUAUCUACCAUUACCUACCUACCACUAAAGUAUGUUUAUGGGGUUGGGAGUUUGGAGGUUUUAAUCUGCGGUUUUUGACUGAAAUGAUCCUUUAAUUUUUGCCCCGGUAUCAUUUUGGUAUCAAAACAAUCUCAUUGUUAAAGACUGUUAAUAAUAAUAUUGCUAUUAAAUUGAGAGGCAAAAUUGUUCAUAUAAAUUAAAACAUUAAUAAAUAAUUAAAAAAUGAAGGAAGCCGCCAGUUUCGCCGAAAAAUGGAGAAGAAGCCGCCGGUGUCGUCCGAACUUCUCCGCCGUCGAUCUCCCUCCUCCGGCCACCGAUUCCAACGAGUGAGGUAUGAUUUCUCACCUAAUUUUCAUGCUCUAGCUGCCUGUUGGGUAGGAUUGGAUCGAUUCUUAGUGUAGGUAAUUCGAUUUACGAAUUGAAAUUCGGCCAAUUUUGGGAUCGCGAUUCCGGCCACCUCCAUUCAGUUUUUGGGGUAGGUCCAAAACAAAAGUGGCUCCAAAUAGGGUGUUAUACCUAGGGUAGGAGUUUGGAGCCGUGGUUUUGAGAUUUUACGACGAUGCGUAAUCGCUUUGGGCACCCAGCGCUGCUGGCGUGUGUGGCGGCCCGUGGGCGAGGGUAGUGAAGUUGCACUAUGUCUCGAUAAGAUCCUUAGGUUGUCACGAGUGCGUAGGAUUUUGGAAAUCUCAAUUCGGACAUCGUUUGACUAUCGAACGGAUAUCGCCUAUUGCGCGUUAUCCGGGUUCGAUAGGUUGGGACCAUUGGAUGGUUUUAAAUUUAAUAUAUGUUAAUCUAGGUAUUUCUAGGAUCGUGUAGGAAUUCACGGAUCUUGAAUCGGAGCCCCGGAUGUUCCGAGUUAAUAGUUUAAAGUUUAUGUUUAUAUUAAUCGUCAGAUCGUGCGAUCGUGAGCAAUCCGACCGUCCGAUCUGGACCAAACUUGCAGGACUAGUGUCCUAUACCUUGUAGAACCCCUAGGAACCUUCGGAUUGAAAUUUGGAGGUCGUGGGCCCCGUGGGUCCGUUUGACCCUGGCUAGGGUAGUUUGACCCUUGGUUGACCGUGAGUCUUCCGGAGUAAUUUCACCUUCCCAGGGGGAUUAUCGGGUGCUAGACUAUUGUUGAGGUUUACACAAUUAGAAUUAAAUUAUAUAUAUUUAUAUAUAUUUAUAAAGGUAUAAAAAGAGUCUAGAAUGUUAGUUUGAAGUGCUAUACGCACUACCUUAGGCACCUCCUCGGAUUUCGGUUACACUACAAGUACCACCUUGUGGAAGUUAGGUCCCACGUAGCGUAGGUUAUCUGGUGUGCGGAUAGGCCCUAUACGUGGCGUUGGUUGUACUGGCGUAUGGGGAGAUAUUGUGAUAUGAUGUUCAGGUCUCGUGUGGCGUAGGUUAUCCGGCGUUGAGACAGGCCCCAUACGUAGCGUUGGUUGAACCGGCGUAUGGAGAGAUAUUGUGACAGUAUGUUGAGGUCGCACGUGGCGUAGGUUAUCCGGCGUGUCGACAGACCCCAUACGUGGCGUUGGUUGUACCGGCUUAUGGGGAGAUAUUGUACUAUGAUGUUGAGGUCUCGCGUGGCGUAGGUUAUUCGGCAUUGAGACAGGCCCCAUACGUGGCGUUGGUUGUACCGGCGUAUGGGGAGAUAUUGUGAUAGUAUGGUAAGAUCACACGUGACAUAGGUUAUCCGGCGUGUUGAUAGGCCCCAUACGUGGCGUUGGUAGUACCAGCGUAUGAGGAGAUUAUAUGAUAAUAUGGUGAGGUCGCACGUGGCGUAGGUUAUCCGGAGUGUUGACAGACCCCAUACGUGGAAUUGGUAGUACCGGCGUAUGGGGAGAUUAUGUGAAAUACAGAGAAAUGAAUAAAGGUAUUGCCUAUGUGUGGAAUUGGGUUUUACGAAAGAACUACAUGUGGCUUGAUCCCUCAGUGAGGGUACGUAGGCAGCCUAAGGUGACAGGACCCGAUCCAAAUUCCGCUUUAGAAUCCGAGUCAGACCCUGUGCGUGUCCGACACCUGGCAAAUGUCGGGCACAAAUGACCUAUUUGCCCUUCUAUACAAAAUACAAUAAAAUAACAAGGUUGUCUUCUACCGAAAAACCGGCAGAGUUUCCCUUGUAACUGGCUCAAUACCAAAACAUUUUCACCUGUCAAAACAAGUAUAUAUAUACAACCAACUGCUAGCAUACAUAUAUAUACAUUCCAACAGUUCAAAUCUCAGUCUAGGGCAAAACAUCAGAGCGACUACUAAAUGUACAAAAGAGUGAAUCUGUUUACAAAACAAAAUCCUACAUCAGAAGAAAGGCGCCGAAGAUGGGAAGUGGCCCGGUGGUGGAUUCCUGUGCACGUCUACUGCCUGGGGGUGCAAAACAACAAAAAGGUGAGUGGACCCAAAAACAAAGUUUAAAAAAUACCAUAUGAACAUACUAACCCCACUGUAAAAACUGUUAUACCAACUAGCUUAUUUUCUUUAUUUUUGAAAUCAAUGCAUGUAUAUAACGAUACAUUUGAAAACAGUUCACCGAGGUGCACCCUAUUUCCGUCAAUUCCUUGUAUCCGUCAAUUCCUUGCAUCACCAUGGGUGACGCAUACUCGCAGGUCUCAGUGACACGAGGUCAGUCCGAGCCGCAACUCGCAGGAUUCAGGGAACCGUAGUCCACCUUUAUCCGCAUUACUCGCUCCACACGAGUUCGAGUACCAAGGAACUCGUGGGGCAACUGUCAAGCAUGCUGACUAAACUGAAGGCAACAAAUAUAAUCCGAAGGCAACAUUUAAUAACUGGGUACAAGGUGGUUUAAGAAAAUAUAAAGUUUCUGAAGAAAAUCUUAUGAAUAAUUAACUUUCUGUAACCUUUAAAAUUCUGCUGCCAUUUAUCUGCUAAUAAACAAGAAUAUCUGUUCCUAUAUUCUUUAAAGGAAAUUUCACUCGGCAGCAUGCAACCUAAAAUAUUUCACAGCUGAUAACUGAAACUGAACUGCUUAAAUUCAUUUAUUAAAACAAAGAGUCCACUCACUGAUAGUUUGAGCUCGUUGGACCUCUUGAAGGUCCCUCCUGCGGGUCAACUGGCGCCCAGGUGCCUGAUUCAAUGACCAUAAUAUUCUAUUAAUACAAUAUAGUAUUAAAUGCAAAACCCUAACCCCGGCUCCUAAAAAGACGUGCGUCAAUUUAAAGUGAUUCCUAUGCCCAUAACAGCUUUCCUUCCACGUGGGAUAGUUUCGCGAUAUCUUGGGACUCAAAAAGCGUUAAAGUCCAAAAAUCAAUCCGGAACCCCACGGGUCCAUGACCUCACAAUAUGAUCUGGAUGCCGCUAGAAGGUCCAAUAUAUUUAGGGCACAUGUCCCGAGGGUAUUGGUGUCAAUCGGACGGUCGGAUCGAUCACAAUCUUGUAAUCGCAUAAUUUCUAAACCCUAGUCCUAGGGUUCGCGAUUUCGGAGUAUCCGGGACACCGAUUCACGAUCCGUCGAAUCCUACACGUUUCUAAAAUUAUCUAGAACAACAUAUCUGAAAUUGAUUACGAUCCAACGGCUCAACAGUAUUGAACCCGAUAAUCGCACAAUAUGGAAAAUCCGUUCGAGGCUCAAACGGUAUCCAAAUUGAGAUCCGCGAAUUCCUAUGCGCUCGUGACAACCUAAGGAUCGCAUCAGAACACAGCGUCACUGCACCACCCUAGCCCACGCGCCGCCGCACGCGCCGGCAGCGAUGGGUGUCCAAAGCGAUAACGCAUCGCCGGAAAAUCUCAAAACCAAGGCUCCAAACUCCUAUAAUAGGUAUAACACCAUAUUUGGAACCACUUUUGUUCUUGGACCAACCCCAAAAAUUGACCGGAAGUGGCCGAACACGGAGGCCGAAAGUCGGCCGAAUUUCAAUUUGCAAACUGAGCUAGCUACGGUCAAAAUCGAUGCAAACCUACCCAACCAUCAGCUAGAGCACGGAAAAUAGGUAGAAAUCCAUACCUUACUCGACAAAUUUGGAGUAGAAUUGAAGGAGAACGAACGGUUCGAAGUUUUGACAAAACCGACUCGUUUUUGGACGGAAUCCGGCGACUACAGCGGCGGCUGGCAGCGGAGAGUGGUCGGGGCUUGAAGACGGAACCGAGCUGGUUCUAUUGGCGCCGACGGCAGGGGCAGAGGUGGUCGGUGGCGGGAGUUAUGGUGCUUGGAAGGUGACGACUGAGGAAGGCAACGGGAGAGGGAGAGAGAGAGAGAGAAGCUGAGGUUUAUAAAAAAAAUCUGAUUUUCCUAAUUAUCAUUUUGCCCCUCGUGAUAUUUUAAUCGUAUUUUCUUCGUUAAAACUCCGAUUCGAGCUCACUUCGUGUCUAUGAACUCGUGUCGUCGUGCUCCACGCAACGGUGUAUGUGGAAUUGUCAAAUUCCUUUUCGGUCAAAAAGUCAACUUUGAGUUCAUAAUUUAGUCAAAGGGCAAAAUUGUCUUUCCGCAUAAUAAAUUACUAAUUAAAUAUGAAUUUUAGGUUUGGGUCAUUACAUAAGGUUAUUAGGUGCAACUGCGAACAUAAAUCUGAUUGUGUUAGGAAGUUAAAACCUCGUAUAUUGGGAUUGGAAAAGUUGAAAGAUGCAUGUUGAAAAUUAGUAGUCAUAAUUUAUAUUUGAAUUUAUCGUUUGCCUUGUUUAAGGCAUGAAUUGAUUUGUUAGCGUGCUUGGUAGUUGAGAAUUAUUAGAAGGCCGAAGGCCGUUUAUGUGCAUUGCAUGAAAUUAUAUUGUGCAUGCUGCUAGUUGUGGAUAUUAAAUGUGUUUUUAUGCAGGUUGAAUUUCUGGGCAAUGUUCAAUUUACAGGGGAGACUCUGCCGAAAUUUUGGCAGAAAGUCUCGUACCCUUAUUCCAUUUUGGGAAAAAGGGUAUAGCUUUAGAAGUGGGCCUGACAUCAGGGUGAUAUCGGGAAUUUCCACAGGAUUCGUCUCGGAUUUUGAGAAAUUCGAGGCGGGUCCUUUCAAAUCAUUAGAUGCAUGUUUCCUUCAUUCCAUUGAUACUUCUACCAUCUCUACCACCAAUAUCACAAGCAUCAUGGUCCACUAUUAUUUCGAAUUUAUAGAAGUUUAUAAAAAUUUAUCAAACUUUAUGAUAAGAUUCUAACAAAUGUCAUCCAAUAAUACUUAUUUUUUUAAUAAUAUGUACGUAUUUUUCAAUAAUACUUCCGUUCUCCGUAUCCGUCAUAAGGACUCGGUAAAAUACACUUUUUUUAAAGCAAACAUACAAUUCAAGUAUUGUACACGUACGUAUUUUUCUUGUUUAUUUUCUCCUUUUGAUUUUUUACUUUUCUAGAGUUAUUACCCAUAUAAAGAACUUAGCAUUUUCCCUUUUAAUACUCGUAUUAUACAAGUAUGUACAUAUUUUUCAAUAAUACUUAUGUUUUCCAUACACGUUUUAAAGACUCGGUAAAAUACACGUUUAAAAAAAAAAGAAGCAAACAUAUAAUAUAGGUAUUGUACACAUACGUACGUAUGUAUUUUUCUUCUUUAACAUGUGUUUACAAAAUUUGUUUUUGCAUUAUGUGUGCUUUCUUGGAUUGUGCAUACUUGAAACCAUGUCACUUGGGAAUGGUUCAAUUCGUAUGAUUGCGUUUUGUUCAAUGGAUUAUAGGUCACAGAUGCAGACAAUUAUAACAAAAGCGUGCAACGAGCUUGGUAUAAAACCCAUUCCCAGUAAACGGGUUAGUAUGUUUUUUCCUUAUCAAUUGUAUAAUUUUCGGAACUUGUAUGGAUAGCGAAAGCAUUUUUUCAAUCACACAACUAAGUCUGAGGACAUUUUUACUAAUCAAGUAACUUAAGAAAGUUCAGCUGAUAAUAGCCUAGAGAAUUUAAAAGGCCGGUACAGAGUUGAAGGUUCUUCUUUAUUCUUUUGUUUUGUUUUGAAAUGUUCAAAUACGCUUGUUAUUUCCUUCUCUGCUACAGAAAUAUACUGAAGAUUUGCAUGAAUUUUAUCUGGUGAUUGGUACGUAACAUAAUCGUCUAUUGGCAUUUAGCCAGCUCUCUCUUUUGGAAAAAUUGAUGUUGAUUGUUUUCUUUUGUUUAAAAACUAUAACCAGAAAGAAAUGCCCUUUGUAUUGUGUUGAUGUAUUGGACUACAUUAGUGGUAAGACUUAUCUGUGCUUAACACUCUUGCUCAGCGGUCUAAGUAGAUAUUUUUGUGAACUCUAAUGUAGGCUCUAUAAUGAUGGAGCAUGAGAAUGGAGGAUGAGGUUAAAUGUAGUAAGCAUUAGAUAAAUUUAGUAUAUGUUUGUCUCACUGAGAGUGUCCUUUCUCCUUGUGGAGGCUCUAUUCUUCUAGUUUCUCUUCCGUUUUGCAUCACUUAUUGACAUGGAUUUUUUCUCCAAUCCCAAGUAGUUGAAAUCCCUUAAUCCGAGUAUUUCGUUCUACUUAAUGAUAUAAAACACAGAUUAUUACCGAUGAUUGUUCACACCUUUUUUGGAGCCUAUGUUAACAAGACACUACAAUGGACGUUCAAAUCAUAUGUAACGUUCAAUUGUGGUGAUACUACAACACAGAUGCAGAACUUGCAUGUCUUUUGAACUAGUGUACAUUAGUGUAGUAAUGGAGCUGGCUUUGAUUUUCUGGUAAAACUGCUAUGCUCUGUCUACUUAUUGUCUUGGAACUUUGCUUCUUUCAGUGUCUCUCGUUACUUUUAUGGUUGGAAGAACGCUACGAGACUGUAUACACACGCCAUCCUGGUUUCCAGAAAGGAUCUAAGCCACUCCUUGCAGUAGAUAACCCAUUCCCAAUGGAACUUCCAGAAAAUCUUGUUGGGGAGAAAUGGGCCUUUGUCCAAUUGCCCUUUUCAGGUAAAGGACUUGCUAAUGAAGAUUUAUGGGUCUUGACAGACAUAACAACUCACAUCCUGUCACCUGCCCUAACCAUCCAAUAUUUCUUUUUAACAUUUCCUGUUUCCACACUAAAUCUAACUCCUGUUUUCAGCUGUUCAAGAGGAAAUCUCAUCCUUGGACUCAAACCUCGUGUUUGGUGCGAGUCUAGAUUUGGAUUUGUUGGGGAUUGAAAUUGACGACAAGACAUUGAUUCCAGGAUUGGCUGUUGCAUCUUCACGUGCUAAACCUCUAGCGGUGUACAUUCUCUCCAAUAUCAUCUUCCGGUCUUUCUAUAUCCAGAUAAUUAUUUCUUUCUUCUUAUGCAUUAUUUUCACUCUAUCUAUACACUGCAAAUAUCUUUGGAUAGAUGUUCUUCGUACAGAUAGCCUAACAUGUUAUGUUGCUAGAUUGUUAAUAUAAACCAUUGGUCGAGUGAACUGUAAUUUGAAUUUGUAGUCCAGAUUGAACUUACCAUGUGAAGUUCCUUGACAAGAUCACAGUAUCCUACAUGGACAUAGACCCAAUUUUUGAUCAGGCCAGUGUUAUUCUACCCUUAGAGUGGUAGUGAUAAACUUGGUUCCUUCAUGGGAUAUUGUGAUACGUUCUCCUUGAAUCUGCUAUCUUAUUCCUGUUGUGUCUUAUACAAUUUUCUGGUGUUCCUCUAACCGUAAGAGAUCAUAAUCACAUCUUUCUAUAAACUGUUGCAGCUUGGAUGAAUGGGUUGGAAGUUUGUUCAAUUGAAGCCGAUUUGUCACGGGCUCGCUUGAUUCUUUCUGUUGGAAUUUCUGGAUGAUAUAUUUAUGCUACCUACAACAAAACUCCUGAAACAACAAGUAAAGCUGAAGCUUGGGAAGCAGCAAAGAAGGAUUGUGGAGGUUUGCACUUCCUUGCAAUCCAGGGUGAAUUGGAUUCGGAUGAUUGUGUUGGAUUUUGGCUUCUACUAGACCACCUCCACCUGUAUAGAGUCUAACCAGUCCAAACAAAUUUUAAAACGAAAUUACUCUUACACAUUAGUUUUCUCAGUCACAUCGCUUCAUGCUUCCUAGCUGCAGAAAUGAUUGCAAAUAUUCCUUUGCAGCUGAGUUUUCUUAUUAAGGUUUUUUGCCGUUCGUGAUUUUUAUUACUUGGUUUCAGAUCACAUAUGCAUCAUUCUAUUUCUGAAAAUGCUGAAAACGGUAAGUCAAACUCAUUGUACGGGGUCUGUAUGUGGGUCUGAAGCUUGGGAUUCGGGGUUUAGGUGCAAACUUGGGUUCGGGGUCCCAAUCUAAAUCCCAGCAUCUGAAUUCUGAACCACGGCUUCUUAAAUUUAAUUCAAUGUAUGAUGUUCACCCCUCAAAAACUAUGAAAAAAAGGCUCAAAACAAAACAUGGAUCUGGUAGGGGUGGGGGGCUGCAGCUUUUAGGGGGUCGGUGUUGUUGUCGGAGGGAUGAAGGUGCUUGGGGAUGGUGGUGGGAGAGAGAUAAGAUAGAGUUGUCUUUAGUUUGGGAAUUUUCUGUAAUUGCCCUAAAAAAAUAAAACAAAGAAAGAAAGCAAUGGAACGAUGGUAUAUUCAGUAGCUCUUCAAAUUGCUAAAAUCUGAAAUUCAAAUUUAUCUAAACGGUUAGUGAUGAUCUAACUUAUUUUCAGGUAGAAAAUAUUUUCAAAUACACAUAUGGUAAUCUUAACCCUCACUCAUACUCCUUGAUUUACCCCAAAGAGCAUAUGCAAAUUAUGAAUAUGCUCUCCCUUUUCAAACUACAUUAAACAUCCAGGAGUAUAUUUGUAAGGGAUUCUGUACUAAAAAUGUCAAAUGAGAAAUUAAACACAAGAAUGAACUCCAGUAAUCAAAACUGGAACUCUCCUCAAAACUGCAUGAGAUGCUAAGAAAUGCCGUAAAAAUGUUGAAUCUUCUUUUUCUCAGGCAAGCCCUUUUGAGUCUAACGUGCCAGCUUUUGUUUCAACUUCUUGAACAUCUUGGUGAUUCUGCAGAGGCAUAGUUGACAACAAGAAAUGGAAAAAAUGAUAAUUUUGGAAAAUUACAUGAGAAAUUCUUGGUGCCAUAAUGUCAACGCACAUAAAAGUGACCUGGUACACAGUACACUACAAAAAAUUUACAAGCGUAGACCACGUUUGUUGCCUAGGAUUGGAUUGGAUACCUUAUUAGAUUCAAGGUAUGUUGAAAUAAGAAAUGAAGGUAGAGCAGAAGGAUUUUUCAUCGUGUGGGAAGUUAUAAGGUUUCCUUCAUUACUAAUCCAUCCUCUACCUCCAACGUGGACCAAGUGUGGAAGAUGGCCUCCAUUUCUUCCUUCAACAUACCUGGAAUCUAGUGAGUUAUCCAAUCCAAUCCAAUCAUAGGCACCAAACACAGCCACACAGUAAUAACAAAAGGUCCCAAAUCAGAAAAAGAUCAGUAGCCAAUUAACAUGAAUACAGCAUAAAGCAUAUAAAAACCAAAGCAGUUCAUUUAAAAACACCGACAACGAAGUAGACCUAGAGUGGUAUCAAUGAAUUUCACGUACAGUUAGCUAGUUAUUACUCUUGCAGCUUUCUUAAUUAAACAACCACAAAAAAUACGGAAUAGAGCAAGAGAUGAGAAAUAUCAGGUACAGUUAAUAUUAAACACCAAAUUAGGUUUCAAAGGACUAACUUUCUCAAAAUCAGCUGAAAAAUGGUUAAAGGAGAGGUAUGAAUCAAUAAAGCUUCUUACUUUUCCAUAAUUCUGUGACCUUUCCCAGUGAACCUUUGGUUGUCUGAUGUACUUCCUGUUCCAGGGGAACUUUCUGUGGGGGCAUUUUUAAGAACUUGUGGCUCAACAUGACCAGCACGUGAUUCUGUACCACUUGAAACACUUGAAAUCGGAUUCGUCGCAAGUCCUUCCUGAAUACUAGUUUGUGGAGGCUGAAUAGACAAGGUCGAGAUAUACACAACCCAGAAAAUAAUUUUAAAAAGGAGAAAUGUUGAAUCAUAACAUGUACAAAUUAAAUCAUUAUUUUUACAAAUAUGAUAAUUAUUCGGAACAUCUUUUGGAGACUACAAGUACACAACAAGCGCAAGCAAGUAGUAAUAGAAAAAAUUUGUAGAACCAGGAAUACAUGUAUACAAGGCAGGCAGGAAAGUAAUUAUUCAGAAUAUUAGUUCAACCAAAACUAUAUCUUUCUUGGAUUAACCAAGCAAAACUGUGAGAACAAGAAUGUACCUUAUAGAUUACAUAAUGUAGAUAAUGAAUAUCACCUUUAUUCCAUAUACAAAACUGAGUUAAUAAACCACGCAAGAUAUAAAUUUUGGAAUUUAUGAAAUAGAAAGGAAAGAAUGUGUGCGAAAACUCACCGGUAUUGCAGAAGGCGGACUGUGGUGUGAAGUGGCAGGGCCAACGCUGUGACAUUGAAGAAAAUGCAGAAAUUAGAAGACAACAGAGUGGUAACCAAGGGUUCUACCUUCACGAGCUUUUCUUUCAUGCACAAGAGUUCGGAUGAGUUACUUCAGCCAUUAGUCCGACAAUCCUAAAACCCAAUGUCAACUGCACUCUCAUCACCUUCAAUCUAAUAGCUGAAGUAAUUCAUGUGCCUUUUAGCUGCAUGAGAGAAAACCUCCUCUACUCUGCUUAUACAGAGGAAAUAGUUGAACACUUGAAUUAAAUUUUUUAUCAAGACAAAGGAGAGACACAAUAAGAGCGAUACAAUAUGUUGAUGAUAUCCACAAUUCAUGCACUUAUUGUUGUUGGACAUACCGCGAGGAUACAGAAAGCAUCAAACAACUAAUUAACAGAAACACUACAGAAAGCAUAUGAAUACCAAAGACCUAUGAAGUAAUUUUGCAAACACCAAUGAUGCAUGUUUUCAGAAGGAAACACCAAAUGAUAAAAAGCUGUAUCUCAAAGCUGCAACAGUAUGAGUGUCUGAUAUCUGGACUAAGGAUAACACUACACAAACCAUCUCUAGUGUUUUCUAUGUCCCAGAUUUUAAAAGCAAUUUAUUAAGUGUGGGGCAGCUUCAGGAAAAAGGCUAUGAGAUCACAAUUAAAGAAGGAAUGUGUCAGAUUCAAGAUUCAAAGAAGGGACUCAUUGCACAGGUCAAAAUGACACCAAAUCGUAUGUUUCCUCUGCAUAUUCAAAGUGUGGGCCAGACUUGUUUUUCUGCCAAAGUGAAGGAGACAGCUUGGUUGUGGCAUUAUCGUUAUGGCCACUUAAAUUUCAAGGGAUUGAAGAUUCUACAACAGCUGAACAUGGUGAGAGGUCUUCCAAACAUUGAUUGUCCAACUCAAAUUUGUGAAGAAUGUGUUCUUGGGAAGCAGCAUCGUGAAACUUUUCCGAAAGGAAAAGCAUGGAGAGCCAAAAAUCCUUUGGAGCUUAUUUUCUCAGAUAUUUGUGGACCCAUCAAUCCAACUUCCAAUGGUGGCAAGAGGUAUUUCAUUACGUUCAUUGAUGACUACAGUAGAAAAUCCUGGGUGUAUUUCUUGCAGGCAAAAUCUGAAGCUUUCUCAGCCUUUAAAAGCUUUAAAGCCCUUGUUGAAAACGAAGUCGGAAGAAAUAUAAAAGUUCUUCGAACUGAUCGUGGUGGAGAAUUCAUCUCACAAGAAUUUGAGGAUUUCUGUGAGACACAUGGAAUUCAAAGGCAACUAACGGCACCAUAUACACCACAACAAAAUGGUAUUUGUGAAAGGAAGAACCGAACAAUCUUGAACAUGGUUCGAAGCAUGCUGAAAAUUUGUGGUGUUCCAAAAACGUUUUGGCCAGAAGCAGUAAAUUGGUGUAUUCACAUCGUAAAUAGAAGUCCGACUCUUGUUGUCAAAAACAUGACGCCUGAAGAAGCUUGGAAUGGUCACAAACCAGCUGUAAAUUACUUCAAAAUUUUCGGUUGUAUAGCAUAUGUUCACGUUCCUGAUGAGAAGAGGAAGAAGCUUGGUGAUAAGGGAGAAAAGUGUAUUUUUCUUGGGGUUAGUGAGCACUCAAAGGCCUAUAAAUUGUACAAUCCCACCACCAGGAAGAUCAUCAUCAGUCGUGAUGUAUUAUUUGAUGAAGAAACAAUAUGGGACUGGACAGAUAAAGACUCAAAGCAGCAGCAGCAGCAGCAGAUUUCUGUUAUUUUGUAUGAAGAAGCAGCAAGCAAAGAAACUGAAGAGCAAUUGCAGCCCUCUAAUGAAGGCCAGCCAUCUAGUUUUCGACCCCAACACACAAAGAAAAGGCCAGCAUGGAUGAUGGAUUACGAGGUUAGUGAUGAUGAUCAAUCUGAAGAUGGACUGACUUAUUUUGCACUGUUUACAGACUCUGAUCCUAUAACUUUUCAAGAAGCUCACAAAGAAACCAAAUGGCGAAGAGCCAUGGAUGAAGGAAAUUAGAUCCAUUGAGAGAAAUAACAAAUGGGAUUUGACAGAUCUUCUUGAAGGGCAGAAGUCGAUUGGUGUAAAAUGGGUCUUUAAAACGAAGCUGAACAAGGAGGGUGGAGUUGACAAAUACAAGGCACGGCUGGUGGCUAAAGGAUAUAAGCAGAAGUAUGGCAUUGACUAUAAUGAAGUGUUCGCUCCGGUCGCUAGGAUGGAUACAAUCAGACUGGUACUUUCACUGGCAGCACAAAACUCAUGGCCCAUCUUUCAAUUGGAUGUGAAAUCAGCAUUCCUACAUAGGAGCUUACAGGAACAAGUCUGUGUCGAUCAACCUCCUGGAUAUGUGCAGCUCGGAAAGGAAGGGAAGGUAUACAAGUUGAGAAAAGCAUUAUACGGGCUGAAACAAGCACCUAGAGCUUGGUACAGCUGUAUAAAUGCUUAUUUUGCUAAAGAAGGUUUUCAAAAGUGUCCGUAUGAACACACGUUGUUUAGUAAAAUUGGUGCUGGUGGAAAAAUUCUUAUUGUCUGUUUGUAUGUAGAUUAUUUAAUCUAUACAGGCAGUGAUAUGACUAUGAUUGAUGUUUUUAAGAAAUCUAUGGUGGCAGAAUUUGAAAUGUCUGAUCUUGGUUUGAUGCACUACUUCCUUGGCAUUGAAGUAGAGCAAUCUCCUGCUGGGAUAUUCAUAUCCCAAAAGAAGAUGUUCAUACUAUUUUGGACAGGUUUCGGAUGUCAAAUUGCAAUCCUGUUGGCACUCCUACUGAAUGUGGUUUGAAGCUAACAAAGGAUCCUGAAGGAGAGAAAGUAAACAGCACCCUCUACAAACAAAUUGUAGGAAGUUUGAUGUAUGUCACAGCCACCAGGCCAGAUGUAAUGCAUGCAGUCAGUCUCAUCAGUCGUUAUAUGGAAUGUCCUACAAGUCUGCACCUACUUGCUGCAAAGAGGAUCUUCCGCUAUUUAAAAGGAACUUCUGAUUUUGGCAUACUUUAUAGAAAGGGUACAAAGGAUGGUUUGAUUGGCUUUAGCGACAGCGAUUACGCUGGAGACUUGGAUGAUAGAAGGAGCACAUCAGGACAUGUUUUUACAAUGGGAUCAGCAGCUGUAUCUUGGUUUUCAAAGAAACAGCCAAUUGUGACUUUAUCGACUAUUGAAGUAGAGUUUGUUGCUGCAGCAUCUUGUGCAUGCCAAACUGUUUGGUUAAGGAGGCUGCUUCCAGCAAGAUCAACACCAAUGUUCUGUGAUAAUAAGCUGUCCAAAAAUCCAGUUUCGCAUGGCAGGAGUAAGCAUAUAGAUGUGAGGUUUUAUUUCCUACGUGAUCUGUGUAAUGAUGGUACCAUUGAUUUGAUCUUUUGUAAAAGUGAAGACCAAGCUGCAGAUAUCCUAACCAAACCUCUCAAGUUGCCAGUGUUCUUGAAGCUCAGGAAGAAGUUGGGAAUUUGCUCUGCCAAGGAUAUUGUUUAAUAGCAGCUGUGAUGCGUUUAUGUUUUUUUUAUUUAAACUGAUGUCUUAUGACAUUCAGUUUAAGGAAGGAUGUUGAGAUUUAUCUUAAUUAUGUUUUCUACAGAAUAAUUGUUAGUUCCUAUUUUAUAGGAGUCAUUUCCUUUCCUGGUCUUUAGGAAUCCUUCUAGUGGAUGGAGUUUGUUAGACGUGUUUUCGUUGUUCCUGUUUAUUUACUAAUUAGUUGUUUGUAUGCUCCUCUAUAAGGAGCAUGUUUCAGUCAAUGAAUAACAAGUUCAGUUCAACAAUUCUAUUGUCUUCUUAUUUUCAAAGCUAUCUUUUAGUUCUCACAAAAAAGCUGUAUCCCAAACACGUAAAUUUCUCAAAACCCACUAACAUUGACAAUGCAUUAAAGAAAACGUGAUGAAUCAACACUUGAACACUUGAACCUGAUCUAAAUCAGAAAAAGAUAAUAAAUAAAUAAAAUAGAGUUCUUACGCUUUCCUAGUCUUCUUCUGGCUCUUAGCUUGUGGGUUGGUGUGAAGGACUUGUGAGCCUUUACCGCUAGACGGUGCAUGCGGGCCAAAGCCAUCCUCAAUAUCAUCCCGAUUUACAGGCCGAACAGAUGCCAUAGACAUAGAAUUGCUGUUACACGCAAACGAAAAGGAAGAAAAAACAAGCGAGUUUGGUAAAACGAGUAACUAAAUAAUGGAAGUGACAAACUAGAAAACAAAUUCUGAGUUUCUUUACCCACCACUAGAAAACCACUCUGUGACGGCGAGUACUGAAUGGAAGAAGAUAUGGAGAGUGAAAUGCGGCCGCCAGAUAUGGUGGCUAAUAAAACUAUAAUGAGGUGUUUAAAGCGUAGCUAUUGAGGAGUAUCUCACCAUCAUAAAGAAAUCAUGUCGGGAUUGGCGUCAUCAAAUAUUCUUCUAACACCUCAUUAGUCGCUCCCCAAUAAACAACGGGCUAAUUACGUUAAUAGUGUCUCAUGCGACCGCAAGAUACAUGCUAUUUUUGUCCUUUCUAGGACAAGGGCCCAAAGAUGGAAAAAUAAAACGCACCAACAAUUGAAAGAGUAAGCCCAUCCUCCCAAAGCCUAGUGGGGUAAAAGCCCAGGUGCUACUUUUCUUGAAGAAAUGGGAACAAGUAAAAGUCUCUGUUUUUGAGUUGCAAAAACUAAUAAAUCAAGUGAGUUAGGUCGGCUAUUUACAAGGGUCACAAUGAAUCAACGGAUAGAGGCUAAUUCAUAGCUUUUUAGGGCUAUCUCAGUUUCUCAGUUCAGUGGGUGAGCAGAAGUGAUAAAAUGUUCUGGUUUUGGUGAUGAAUCCAUAUGGGACUUAAACAAGAUUUGAAACAGAAUUUGAUCAUCAGAAAAGAAAGAGAGAGAGAAAAAGAAAGGAGAGAGUAGUAAAAAAAAAACCAACCCAUUUGCAUUUCGACGUAAUCCGGUGUCAACAAAAAGAAACUCCACCGCAUACAUGUUGACAAUGGCAGUUGACGAUGGUCAUUGAUGAUUCGGGCCUCUGUGUGUUUCAGACCUAGCCAAUACUGCUUCAUUUUCCACCCAGAUGUCAUUUCAGAAGAAACCAGCAAAGAUUUGAAGAAGAAGAAAGCAAAACAGAAGAAAACAUAGCAUCUGGAAAAUGCAGCAAGGUCAAUGACUGCAAAAGCACUAAACAAGGUGCUAUAAACAAAGGAAAGUAUAAAAGCACGCCGAUUCGCCGGACGGACAACGUGAUUCUUUGUCGUGUCCUCAUAUGGACAGCAUGAUGUAUAUAUAUUAUUGUUUUAUACGAUAUCAAUUUCUUUUUUCCAUUUUUAAAUCAUCCAAUUUCUCUGCAACAACUGAAAACCCAUUGUUUUUAUUUUUUUGGUUGGUCGAAUUUUUCAAUAGACUUUAUAGCCCUUAAUGUUGAAUCUGUUCUCACUGGCACAAAAGUAUAAAAUAAUAAACAGGUAGUUCUCCUUCAAUUGCAAAUAUGAUAUGAGCGUUUUAGCCAAUUCAUUCCAAGCUGAGUUGUUCAACUAGUAGUGUUGUAUGUUAGGGUGUAUUGAAUUGAGAUUUUAAAGAAGUUUCAAAGCUUAGAUUUUAUACAAGUUUAUAAAAUUCUUUAUUUAAUUCAAACUUUUUAAAGUUCAAAUUUGGAGGUAUUCAAUGGCGAUUUUAAACGACUACAUUAAAAUUUGGGUUAUUCAAAAAAAUCAUUGACUUUAAAGGAAACAUAAAAAGUGAUCAAUUUCGUUGGAGAGGUUUUUCUUUUUUUUUUCUUUUUUUUUCAAUUUUAAAAAUAUAAAAUUAGUUUCUUUACUUUUUUUUUUUGGCCAACUUCUUUAAUUUAAUAUACGUGAUUAAGUAAUAUCUUAGCCUUUUUGAAUCACUUUAAUUAGUGAUUAAGUAUUCAUUAUUAUUUCUUCAAUGAAUAUUUAAAUAUGUUACUGAUUUAAUUCUACUGUGCAAAAACGAAAAAAUAAAUUACUCAUUUUCCUUUGGAUGUCUUAAUUAAAUCUUCUCAGAGCCCAAGAUUGAGAGUGAAACCUAAAUCGUAAAGACCUGGGUCGAGUUAAGUAAUUAUCCAACCCUAAUUGAGUCCUAAAUGCCCUACAAUAGGUUUACAGUUAGGGUUCGAGGCUUGCGAACGGCUUUGGAACAAGUUCGGAUAAGUUUGAAAGCUAUGGUUUUUGUUUCGAGACUUGGAUUUUUAGUUUGGAGACUAAAAUUCUAUUUUUAGAAUAAUACUAAAAUAAUUUUCUAGAAUUUUUAAAUAAUUGAAACUCUUUUUAAAAUAAUUUUAAAUUCCACAAAAUUCUUUAAGAUCAUUAUAUAUAAUUAAUUAAGUAAUUUUUAUGAAAUUAAUUCAAAUAUUUAAAUACUAAUUCUUCACUGGAUAAAUACAAGUAAUUAAAACAUAAUAUAUUCAAUGGCUAUACCUUUGAAAUAUUCUAUUUACUAUUCUAUACCUUCAAAUAGUAUAGCCGGGCGGCUAUACUCCUUCAAUAUAAUAUUUAAACCGUAUAGCCGCACGGCUAUACUCCAAAAAUUAUAUUUAGAAUAUUUUUAAGUACAGCCGACCGGCUAUACUAUAAAAUAUAAUAUCUUAACAGUAUAGCCGAACGGCUAUACCCCAAAAAAAAUAUUUUUAAGUAUAGCCGCCCGGCUAUACCUUGUAAAUAGGAAAGUAACACUCCCGACGAAUUCUUGUCGGCACAGGUCUAUGCCGGCAAAUGUUUGUCGGAUUAGACGUCUCCUGACGAAUUUUACCUUUGCCGACGAAAUUUCGUCGGGAGAGGUUUUUUUUUUUGUUUUUAUGUUUUUUUUUUUAAUUUUCAAAAUAUAAAAUUAGUUUCUUUACUUUUCUUUUUUUGGCCAAUUUCUUUAAUUUAAUAUACGUGAUUGAGUAAUAUCUUAGCCUUUUUGAAUCACUUUAAUUAGUGAUUACGUAUUAAUUUUUAUUUCUUCAGUGAAUAUUUAAAUAUGUUACUAAUUUAAUUCUACUGUGCAAAAACGAAAAAAUAAAUUACUCAUUUUCCUUUGGGUGUCUUAAUUAAAUCUUCUCAGAGCCCAAGAUUGAGAGCGAAACCUAAAUCGUAAAGCCCUGAGUCAAGUUACGUGAUUAUCCAACCCUAAUUGAGACCUAAGUGCCCUACAAUAGGUUUAUAGUUAUAUGAGCCAAAUUCAUGUCAUCGUGCUCUUUGACUUGCCUGGGGGUGUUCCUAUGAAAGAUGAAUGUUGCCCUCUCUUGAAAUUAAGUAUAUAUGAAGCCAAGGUGGCAGGGUUUCUUUUUUUCUUUUUUUCUUUUAUUUGUUGCAUACUGGAAUCAAUAUGUGACAACAUUUCUUUGAUUAUGGUUGAAGAUGGUGAGUAGAGUGUACUUAUUAAAAUUAUAUUUGUUUCACAAUUAAAUAUAUUCUUUUUGGUCAUUUUAUAUUAGGGUAAAUUAGUAAUUCAAUAAAUUGUCUGGUAGCAUGGUGUAUUCAAUUAAUCUUAAGUAGGCCUGGGCACGGAUCGGUUAGGAAUGGUAGAAGGCUCUUCCAUUAACCAAACCAAAGACUUCGGUAGACUUCGGAUCGGUUAACCUAAUAUUCAGUUCGGAUUGGUCGGUACACCAGUAGUACCAUAAUAAAAACAUACUAAUAAAAAUACAAUUUAUAAUACUUUCACAUAACAUAAGUUCUUGAACAAAUACACCAAAUUAUCCUUGUAAAAUAUAAAAAUUCAAUAGUCAAAUUCAUCCAAGUAUGAAAUCAAAUAACUUAGUCACUAUAUCAUUCAAUAUGUACUCAAGAUGUAUUAGGAGUCACUUGUGUUUGUUAUUUGAACUUUUGAGUGUUCUUUUUAUUGAAUUAUCUACAUUUAUGUAAAUGAUUUUGACAUUUGUUCCGCGUAGAUUCUUUAGUUUUUCAUGCUGAAUCCAACCAUAUAAAGAACAUAAAAUUUGGAUCAACAAUUGGAAAGUUGCAUGUAAAAAAGCGACAAAGGUCAAAACGGGAAAACAUAGGAAGUUCAUAAAUUCCUCUCUGACCAAAAAGUGCUACAGUACCCAGGUAAGUGAUACAAUGGUGAUAAAGAAGUGAUACAGUGGUGAUAAAGCAGUGCUAAAAUGGUGAUAAAGUAAUGAUACAAUGGUGAGAAAGAAGUGAUACAGUAGUGAUAAAAGAAUGAUACAAAAUGCUGGUUGUAUUUACCUUUGGUUUCUUGUUUUGUAUUUAAAUAAUAAAAUAAGUAUAAAUAUCGGAUCGGUACGGGUUUCCGUCAGGUUAGGAAUUUUGUUUCCGUUAACCAAACCAAUUAUUUCAGUACGGAUCGGAUCGGAAUAAUUAAAAUUAAAAAAUAAUUAUUUAACCAAACCAAACCAAACCAAACCGUCGGUACGUGGAUAAUUCGGAUGAGAUGCCCACCCCUAGUUUCUACUGUGAUGGAUACUAGAAUGUAAGUUAAUAAAUUGGUUUAUGGGAUUUUUGGUGCUUAAAUUUUCCUGCAAUGUUGAUUGUCCUACUUAUAAUUUAUUUAACAGAUACUAAUGUGACAUUUUGUUCUUGCAGAGGCUGAGUUCAAAAAUCAACUAUGAUGCUUUGGAUAAAUUAAAUGAAGAGCUUGUAAGCAUCUUUUAUGUGUCUUAUUUUAGAAUCAAUUUUGCUUUAUUCAUGCUUUGCAAAUCCCAUAUAAAGUUCUGUCAACAUCCAAGGUCUCGUUAACUGAUGCACAGACUACAAGCGACUAAAAGCGAAUCAAAUCUAAUGGCACGUUUAAUUUCGAUUGUCAAAUGAUGUUACUUGUUCAAUAUAUUUUUUGUUUCCUUAAUGUCUGGUUAGUGUGCAGACACCAAAUUCCUGUUUAAUGGAAUAAAGGUAUAUACAAGUGUCACAAACCAUGGCAAGAUAGAACUUAAUACGUAAAAGAAUGAUCAAUUGUGCAGGUUGUUUACUUAUUGGGCAAUUAACGAGAGACUUAAAAAAAUAGGAAAAUCUUUCAUCUUUUUACAUGGUUAAUAGUUUUUUUUGCCAUGCAAUGUAGUUCCUAGUUAGAAUCCUGGUAGGUUUUAGAGAAUAGAGGUGUCUUUCUGCGAGUAAUUGCUAGAACUUCUAAUUUUUUUUCCCCAUGUGUAAAAUCAGGGUUAUGCACCUGCAUUCAAAGAAGGCACAAAGUCUAAUUGUGGCAGUCAUGGUGAUAUGCAACUGUCAAAUGAGAAUAACAGUUUUGAAGGUAGCCAUGAUGAUGAUGAUUUUGAGCAUGAAAGUAAUGGAUACAGUGAAGAGGCUGAAGCCAGGUAUGUAAGACGAUUUAUUGUCUCAGCCCAUAAAAGAUGAUCUUCUAAUCCCAAGAGGAUUCGAAUUUUGGUUUGAUCAGGAAAUAGAACUCAAUCCUUAUGAGAUAAUACUUGUACAAAGCUUAUUAAAGUUAAACACAAGUAUUAUCAGGAUUCCUAAUAUAACAUGGAUUGAAACAAACCUAUUCUAAUGCAAAAAGAACACUCAAACGCUUCUUGAUAGGCAAAGCUUUAUGAGUGAUGCACAUAUAAAUAGAGGUCGCUCCCCUUGCAGCAAACACCCUCUCAAAUCAGAUCUCACCCUAUCUAAGAGAAAGAGAAACUAAAGUGCUGCAUAGGGUAGAAGACUCUCUAGACGAAAUCAAGAUACUCUACUGCUACAAUGGCUGAACAAGGUUAGUAUUAUUGUAUAAAGCUUUAGUAAAGACUUACAUGUGGUAUCAGAGCUCUAGGCUUUUGUCCUUUAAUCUAACCAUUUGAUCAUAAGCUAUAAAAGUAUGCAGUUUUUCCUUGUUUUAAAAAUCUUAACCGUUAAAAGCAUAAGGUUAUCUCUGCUCAUCAAGUUUUGACCAAUAAUUUGAAAACUGCUAUGCGGAAUGAGUAAGCCACAGCUGCUCAGGCUAUGUAGGAGUUCUUGAAUUUGACAGUUUGGUCAGAAAAUUGCAUCAGUGUUUGUAGCCUUCUAUAUGAUUCUCCAUCCACAGGUGGAAAUUUUACAGAUUGAUCACCACUGAUGGAACAAUCUGGAGAGUUAGUUGCACUGGCUUGUAAGUAUCUUUACAUCCAUAGAUGUGAGUUACUUGCGCAGGAAGCCUGUAUAGUUAACCGUUUAGGGUUUUGGAACACGUUAAACUUAAACCCACAUGUAUAAGUUGACAUGUUUAAGUAAAGAUUUAGGGACAAUUUUGUUUAAUUUGUACUGCAAAUUUUACAAUGAAUCACAACUCCAUCGAAACCUUGACUGGAUCGAAUUAUAGCAAGUGGAAAUAGGAUCUGGAAAUAUCUUUAGGCUUUCUGGAUUACGAUUUUGUGCUCAAAGAGAAACCUCCUCAAGAACCAGCUGCAGAUGCUUCUGCUGAAACAAAGACUAAGUUUGCCAACUGGGAAAAGGCAAACAAGAUGGCUAUGUUAAUCAUGCAAAGGGCUAUGUCUUCAUCAGUGAAAGGAAGUAUUCCUAAAUCUAAGAAUGCACAGCAAUACUAUGAGGCAAUUGCACAGAGGUUUAAGGAAUCCGAAAAAGCUGUCAAGAGUACCUUGCUGAAUCAAUUGAUUGAUAUGAAAUAUGAUGGGCAAGGUUAUGUGAGAGCUCAUAUCAUGAACUUGAUUGACUUAGGGCCAAAACUACAGGAAUUGGAUAUGACAGUAGAUGAAGAUAUGAUGGUCCAUUUUGCACUAAAUUCAUUGCCUAAAGAAUUUAAAUCUCUCAAGGAAACCUACAUUGCUCAGAAGGAAUCAUAGCUCAGUAUACCAAUCCAGGUACACCUCAGCAAAAUAUAAUUUCAGAAAGAAGAAAUAGGACCUUGAAAGACAUGAUAAGAAGCAUGAUGAGCUGUACAAAUUUACCAAUUUUUCUUUGGGGAGAAGCCUUAAAAACAGCAAAUUACAUUCUAAAUAGAACUCCAACCAAAAGCAUAAAUAGAAUCCCCUAUGAAGUUUGGAAUGGAAGGAAGCCUAGCAUUAAACAUCUGCAAGUAUGGGGUUGUAAAGCAGAAGCAAAACCUUACAAUCCUGUAGAAAAGAAGUUGGAUCCAAAAACCAUAAGUGGUUAUUUUGUUGGCUAUCCUGAAAGAACAAAGGGAUAUAUAUUUGAUUGCCCCAAACACACUACCAGAUUCAUAGAAACCUCAAGAGCAGUCUUUAUAGAAACUGACCAAGAAAUAGAUGAGGAGGAAAGUUUCAGUUUUGAAGAAAUAACCUUGAACCAUGACAUGCCACAGAUUUCGAAUGAAGAUAUUGUCAGACUACCUCAAAUUGAUUCAAGCAAUACUCAGCUGGUACACACUGAUGAGAUCAAUACAAAUGGACUUGAAACUGCAGAACCAAUGGAAUUAAAUGACGAUCAAGCACUGCCAGCAGAAAACCAAGUCAUGGCUCAAGCACCUGAAGUAGAAAAUCCAGAACCUAACGUGGAACUAAGAAGAUCACAAAGGCAAAGAAAACCUGCUUUAGGAGAUGAUUAUUUUGUGUACUUGCAGGGAGCAGAACAUGAUGUGAAUAUCAUAGAAGAUCCUGCAACCUUCAAACAGGCCAUGACAAGUGAAAAGAGAGAAAACUGGUUUGCAGCAAUGAAAUCAGAACUGAAUCCAAUGGAGAAAAAUGGAGUCUGGAAGCUUGUAACUUUACCCCAAGGUUGCAAACCAAUUGGUUGUAAGUGGGUAUAUAAAACGAAAUUGGACUCAAAAGGACAGAUAGACAGGUAUAAGGCAAGGUUGGUUGCAAAGGGAUUCACACAGAAAGAAGAAAUAGAUUUUAAUGAGACUUUCUCACCAGUCUCAACCAAAGAUUCAUUAAGGGUUAUUAUUGCCCUUGUAGCACAUUUUGACCUCCACUUGCACCAGAUGGAUGUCAAAACAGCUUUUCUAAAUGGAGAUUUGGAAGAAGACAUAUACAUGGUACAACCUGAAGGUUUUGUUCAAGAAGGGGGAAAAAGUUUGGUCUGCAAGCUAUGCAAAUCAAUCUAUGGAUUAAAACAAGCCUUUAGACAGUGGUACCUAAAGUUCAAUAAGGUAGUGAAAGAUUUUGGUUUUGUUGAGAAUGUUUUAGAUGAAUGCAUAUACAUGAAGAUGAGUGGGAGACAUUUCAUUAUACUAGUUCUGUAUGUGGAUGACAUUCUACUAGCAUGCACAAACCUCACCAUGCUACAUGACUGCAAGAAUUUCCUAUCUAAGAACUUUGAAAUGACUAAUCUAGCUGAGGCAUCAUAUGUUUUAGGCAUAGAUAUAAGCAGAGAUCGAAAGAAUGGGGUACUUGGACUAUCACAAAAAUCCUACAUAGAAAAGGUGCUCAAGAGAUUCAAUAUGCAAAACUGCACAGGAAGUGACAUUUCUAUCUCAGAAGGGGAUAAACUGAGCACUGAACAAGCACCUGAGACUGAGCAAGAAAAGCUGGAAAUGGUUGAUAAACCAUAUGCUUCACUAGUUGGAAGCUUAAUGUAUGCGCAGGUUGGUACCAGACCUGACUUGGCCUUUGCAGUCAGUGUGCUAGGAAGAUUUCAGUCUAAUCCUGGACAAGCUCACUGGAUUGCAGGGAAAAGAGUGUUAAGAUAUUUGCAAAGGACAAAAGAUUACAAGCUGACAUUCAAAAGAAGUGAUACACUGGAAUUACAAGGUUAUGCAGAUGCUGAUUUUGCAGGAUGUCAAGACUCCUUAAAAUCUACAUCAGGUUUUGUGUUUAUGUUUGGCGGAGGUGCAGUGUCGUGGAGAAGUGUAAAACAACCUCUGACAGCAGGUUCAACUAUGUUUGCUGAGUUUCUAGCAUGCUAUGAAGCUACCUCUCAAGCCAUAUGGUUAAGAAAUUUCAUCAUCAGCUUGAAUGUGGUUGAAUCAAUACACAGACCAAUUCAAAUAUGGAAUGACAACAAUGCAGCAGUUUUGUUUGCAAAAGGAAACAAAAGAACAAAGGGUUCGAGACUGUUGGAUGUCAAGUUCAUAAUAAUGAAGGAGAAAAUUGCUCAAGGCUAUACUAAUAUAAGUCAUAUCAGUACAGACAGAAUGAUUGCAGACCCUCUCACAAAAGGAAUCCCAAAUGCAGUGUUUCACAGGCAUGUUAUGAGCAUGGGAUUAAGGAAUGAUUUGAAUGCUUAAAUCAGUGGGAGCCUUGUUAAGUUUUGAGUAGUUUUCUGUUAUAGCCUUAAUUCACAGUUGGUUAUGGUUUUCGAUGGAUGUUUAUUUUAUUUUGUGAUUCAGAAAUGAAGUUUUCUCAUUAAAACAGUUUACAUGCUUAAAUGUUAUAUAUGUAUAUGCUUAUAAAUACUUGAAUGAAUUAAGCAGAAAGCUAGCUAAAGAUAUCUGCAUACGGUUUUCAUUCAUGACAGGAUAUCAUUUUAAAAGUGAUAAGACCUUAGUAGUCAAAUUAAGGGACAUUGAAUGAACAUGUUCAUAAAGCUUUACAGUAGAACAUGUUUAUUUUUCUGUUUAAUCUUGAUUGAAGCUUAUGUGGUUUUAAAGAAUGAUUAAUGUAAUUAUAAAGAUCCUGGAGCAUUAGAUAUCCAGUGAAGUCUUGAUGGUUCCUUUUCAUUCUUUAAAAUUGACAAUUGCUUGAUGGAAUCAGUUUGAGUUAUAUUUCACAAAGGCCUUAAGUGAUCAACACAAAACUUUGGGAUUAAUCGAUCAAGUGGGAGAAUGUAAGACGAUUUAUUGUCUCAGCCCAUAAAAGAUGAUCUUCUAAUCCCAAGAGGAUUCGAGUUUUGGUUUGAUCAGGAAAUAGGACUCAAUCCUUAUGAGAUAAUACUUGUACAAAGCUUAUUAAAGUUAAACACAAGUAUUAUCAGGAUUCCUAAUAUAACAUGGAUUGAAACAAACCUAUUCUAAUGCAAAAAGGACACUCAAACGCUUCUUGAUAGGCAAAGCUUUAUGAGUGAUGCACAUAUAAAUAGAGGUCCCUCCCCUUGCAGCAAAUACUCUCUCAAAUCAGAUCUCACCCUAUUUAAUAGAAAGAGAAACUAAAGUGCUGCAUAGGGUAGAAGACUCUCUAGACGAAAUCAAGAUACUCUACUGCUACAAUGGCUGAACAAGGUUAGUAUUAUUGUAUAAAGCUUUAGUAAAGACUUACAAGAUAAGGCCAUGAUGAUGAUACAUAUGUUGCAAAUGACGAACAUAAUGGAUGCAACUAUGAUGACGAAUACAAUUACGAUGAGGAACGCGAUUUUGAUGAAUUAUGACUCAAAUAGUCAAUUCUUUUUUCAUGAUUCAGUUGUAUCAUGUUACAAUCAAAAGGUUAAGCAAUUAAAACUUAUGGUUUUUUUUUUUUUUUAACUUUUUUGAAUUGGUAUCAGUCUGAGGAGCGAUGCAAUUGAGCAUAGCUUGCAUGUCAAACUAUGUGAACUAUAAUCAUGAGCACAAAUUUGUAAAUCGAAACACUGAAUGGUUGGUUCCAAGCUGUCCACACUUUAUUUAGUGUAGAGAGAAGCACCAGUGACAACAAUAUUUCCCCAACAUUGACAACACCAAAAGACUUCUCAAUAUUAUAUACGAGUCUGAUGAAAAUUUGACCAUUGGUUUGUAUCUCAAACUGUGAAUUUAUAUAAUUCAGUUAAAUUUAUUCAAUGUCGAAAAAUCUUUACAUAGGAACACAGACUGAAUUGUCUCGGUUCCAACUUCCAAGUUGUUCAGAUUUUGCUAGCGAGAGCAAGGUACUUGGUAUGAUGGCCCUGAGCAUGUCUUCUUCUUCCUUAACUCAACACUGGCAACAUCAACAGCCUUCUAAACUCGUAAAGCCUUGGCCUCAAUCUCAACUUCCUAACUAGGCUAAGCAUAAGCUCCACCAUGCAUGAAAUUGCCUCCUUUCAGUAAACGAGGGGGUACUUUGAAGGAGCAAACAAUACGACCGGGUUCAAGGAGAUCAACUUUAAUGCCUUCCAUGAUAAAGGACUCAAAGAACUUGUCCUGCAGCCCAUCCAUUGUCAUUGCCAUUUCACCUUAUUUCUCCAAGAACUUCUUCACUGUCUCCAUACUUGUUUCCUCAUUUCUCCAGAAGCCUUAGCCAUCAGAGAAACAACAGAUAGAAGAGUCACAUUCAACAUCAAGGGUCCUAUAAUACCCUUAGCCCAAGGCAUUUGCAAACCUCUAAGGAGACUCCAUAACUCACCCUCUGAAGGAAACAUGCACUUAAAUUUAAAAUUAUGGAUUUUAAGCUACAACAUAAAUGAAUCAAACAUUCAAAGAGGCGGAAGUGACUUUUAGAUCUUAUUAAGCCUAAUGCUAAUAAAUUCCAAGUAUCUUUCUAGGUCUAAUCUCACUUAUGCACAAAAGAAAGGGAGGAAAGGAUGAGACUUUCUUAUCCUUGAAGCUCUCUUGGAUGGUCUCCAAGUUUUCACCAUUGGAAAGACCUUCUUCCUUGUUGCUUGCUUCAUAGAGUCUUCACAAGGUACCAAAGUAGAUACCCUCUGGUUCAUACACACAAACGUAGUGUAAGAGAUGAAGAAGAUGACCAAGAGGAGGUAAGGUGCUAGCCCUCUCCUCUUGGUGCCUGGUUCUAGCAUGGUAGAGUGGAGAUUUCUCUCCUCUCAAACCCACUCCAAAGUUGGAUUCUUCAAACCCUAGAAAGAAAACGGUCUAAGUGUGGCUUAUAUAAGCCAAUACAAAAGAUGAAGCAAAAUCCCAUCCUUGUAUUUUGGCCAUAGUGUUUCUUGAGCUCAUUUAACUUAUGUUGUCAUAAAAAACAUAUUCUCUUGGGCUCAUUUAAUUUCAAUUUUUUUAGAUCUUGAAAAUAGUUUGGAGUUCAAUACCAAACAAGUUUAUCAUCUUAAAAUCACUCUUUGAAAACUCAUGUUUUUAACAAGAAUCAUAGUUUUUGAAUUUACCUUUUUAAGUAGGAUACUAAAUUGUAAGAUCCCACAUCAACCAACGAAGAGGGGGUGAUGUGCCUUAUAUGUGCACACCCGCAUCCAUCUAGCACGAGGCCUUUUGGGAGCUCACUGGCUUCGGAGUCGUAGAAACUCCGAAGUUAAGCAAGUUGGGGGCCAGAGCAAUCCCAGGAUGGGUGACCCACUGGGAAGUUGCUCGUGAGCUCCCAGAAACAAAACCGUGAGGAUAGAUAGGGGGCCCAAAGCGGAUAAUAUCGUGCUACGGCGGAGCCGAUCCCGGGAUGUGACAAUUUGGUAUCAGAGCCACUUUUCCGUGUGGUACGAGUGUGCCGACGAGGACGUCGGGCCCUUAAGGGGGAUGGAUUGUAGGAUCCCACAUCAACCAACGGAGAGGGGGUGAUGUGCCUUAUAUGUGCACACCCGCAUCCAUCUAGCACAAGGCCUUUUGGGAGCUCACUGGCUUCGGAGUCGUAGGAACUCCGAAGUACCCACUGGGAAGUUGCUCGUGAGCUCCCAGAAACAAAACUUUGAGGGCAGAGAGGGGGUCCAAAGCGGACAAUAUCGUGCUACGGCGGAGCCGAUCCCGGGAUGUGACAAUUUGGUAUCAGAGUCACUCUGCCGUGUGGUGCGAGUGUGCCGACGAGGACGUCGGGCACUUAAGGAGGGUGGAUUGUAAGAUCCCACAUCAACCAACGGAGAGGGGGUGAUGUGCCUUAUAUGUGCACACCCGCAUCCAUCUAGCACGAGGCCUUUUGGGAGCUCAUUAGCUUCGAAGUCGUAGGAACUCCGAAGUUAAGCGAGUUAGGAGCCAGAGCAAUCCCAGGAUGGGUAACCCACUGGGAAGUUGCUCGUGAGCUCCCAGAAACAAAACCGUGAGGGCAGAGAGGGGGGCCCAAAGCGGACAAUAUCGUGCUACAACGGAGCCGAUCCCGGGAUGUGACAUAAAUAGGGCUUAAAGCUCCCAAAAUAUUAAGGCUUAUUUUAUGACAUGCCCCCUGAAAGUGUAUUUGAGUCUCCCCUUGUCCCUUGAAACUCAUUUUGUGUCACUUUACUCUUUUUUUCACAUGUAUUUGUCUCACUUUGUUUAGAUUCCCGCGAGGCCAACAAAUUCCGGUCAAAAUAUUAAUUAAAAAUUAAAAAAUCAAUUAAUAUACAUUAUGUUUUAAAUAUUUAAUCUUAUUUUUAAUUGAAUUUUUAAUUUUUUUGAUCCUAAGUUAUUGGCCUCACCGAAAUCGAGGCAGAGUAAGGCAAAUAUGUGUGGAAAAGGAAGUACAGUGAGACAAAAUGAGUUUCAAGGGCAAGGACGGAUCGAGGAAUGUGGGCUAAUAUUUUUCUUGGCUUUGGAGACUCCAAGUAAAAUAAUAAUAAUAAUAAUAAUAAUAAUAAUAAUAAUAAUAAUAAUAAUAAUAAUAUAAUAGCAUUUAAAAUAUUUCAAAACCAGAAAGUAACAAAUAAAAUAAUAAAAUAACAUCUUUAAGAAAAAAAAUGAAGCAAAGUGAGGCAAAUACUACCCAGCUAGAAGAAGCGAUGCAAAUGCAAUUCAACAGAAGCAAUCCAAACUACAGAGGGGCCAGACCAGCCAUUAUUUAACCUCAAGCCUUGGAGUUUAAACUUCAAAACCACUUAAUUAGUUGGUACUUGUAAAAUCCAAAGAAGAGGGGUUUGCAGUUUAUUUUGGCAAAAAAGGAAAGGGGGUUUACGGCUACUAGCUAGGGAACAUAUUGCAUGAAAAAAAUAUUAAAAUUUCAUAUUGGUAGACAUUAAAUAUUUCCCAUUUUGUUUUUAUAGUAAUUUAUUAUUACUACCAUGUUAUUUGUUCCAAAAGCAGUCAUAAAUAAUUUUUUUUUUUAUAGUCAAAAGAGGUGAGCUAAUAUUAAACAAAAAACCAUCACAGGCUAGAAGACAAAGAGAUUGUGGGUUAAUAUUUUUUGGAGUAGGAUUAGCUUAUAAAAUUUGUACUAAGUUUAGUAUUUUAACAAAUUUACACCAUACUAGAGCCCAGCCUAGCCUGUACAUGGAUCUGUUCUUAUUCAGAGGGCAAAGUGAGACUCAAAUACAUUUUCAGGGGGUAUAAAAAAAAAAGACAAAUAUUAAUACAAAGAGAGAAAAUGGAAUGGGAAAGUCAAUAAAAAAUUAAUUACAAUGUAUAAUUAUAUUUUAAAAAAAUAUAUGAAAAAUUAGUUUGUUUAAUUUUAGCCAUUCAUUGUACUCUAAUCUAAUGGUUGAAAACUUGUGUCAAAUAAAAGAAGAAUAAUUAUAUAGUAAAAGAAUAAUUUUGUUAAAAAAAUCGAUUCUAUGAUGACGUUAUUAAUAGUAGGGCUCAGUUUCCACAUCAUCAAACUGCUCGGAAUUCAUCAUCCUUGACAAUUUGACAUUUUGUCGUCCAAAAUAUCCAAUAAGGCCUUGUUUCUUUAUUGCUGAUUCAAAGACAUUCGAAUAUCUUAAACGUAUAGCCGCGCAGCUCUUCCACACGAACACGAAGCUUGCACUCGCAGAGUACGGAACUUGCACUCGCAGUCAAGCCAUUUCGCUUCUCUAUCAACUCAAGCUUCAAUUUGUUUUCUUUGGUUUCGGCUGCUUCGUCCUCCGGGUUCGGCAACGAAAAAAGACCCAACCCGCCUAGCUGCCGCCUAGCCGCCUAGCGCUCGCCUAGAUACCGCCUAGCAACCGCCUAGCCGCCUAGCCGCCUAGCGCUCGCCUAGAUACCGCCUAGCAACCGCCUAGCCGCCUAGCGCCCGCCUAGCUACCGCCUAGCCGCCUCGCGCCUUCCCAGAGACAGCCUAGUCUCCUUGAGCCUGCCUAGCGACCGCCGAGCCACCUAGCCUCCCGCCUACGCCGAUUUUUCGAACACUGAGAUUGACUGAAAGUCUGAAACAACAAUGGCCUCUUUCAGCGUCCUUUGGCUUCUUUUUGCAGUCUAUGCUUUCUCAGCUGCUUCUGGUUUCAUGUGUCCAUGGCUCAAAAUGCUACUACCGAUCCAUCCGAAGGUACUAGCCAUCUUUCAGGUAUAGCAUAAAUAUGUUAUUGAUGUGUACGCAAUGAUUGAAUUGAGAAUGCAGUGACGGCCUUGAUCUCAAUAUUCAAGCAAUGGGACAUGCAAGCCCUGCCUAUCAGUGGAGGAGAGCAAUGCAUUGGAUUUGCCAUCAAUGGAAGCGAGUUUGAAAAGCCAGAGAAUAAUCCAGCCAUCACUUGUGACUGUACUUACGACAAAAAUACUACCUGCCACAUUACCAAACUGUAUGUUAUUACCCUCCCCUCUCUCUCUCUCUCUCUCUCUCUCUCCAUAUUCUUUAGUCUUGUGUUGUUGACUGUAGCAAAUCAAUUAAUUUUCAAGUUUAGAAAACUAAGCAGAACAUUGCAUUUUGUCACGAAUAUUUUUUAUACUCAGAGAUUAAUAGCUGGUCAUUGCAUUUUGUUUCAAUUCUUGUAGGAAACUUGAUCUGAACUAUUUCACCGGUCCACUACCAGCAUUCAUCGGCAAUAUGUCUGCGUUGACAGUAUUGUAAGUAGUUAAACAUAGACUCCCAAGUGAGUUAUACCAUAUGGCCAAAGAAGCACAUAGUACUAUACAUAAAAUUACUCUGUUUUAUCCUGAAUUUUAAACGGGUGCUAAUAUCUUUAAUUGAUAUUUCCAUUCAGGUCAAUUGCCCACAAUUCAUUCUCUGGGCCCAUCCCCAAGGACCUUGGAAACCUUAAGGAGCUGACUAUGCUGUAAGCAAAGACAACUGAGAAAUGCUCUAUUGGGACAUGUUAAAUAUAGAAUCCCCUAUCAUUUAAUUCUAUACCUCUUCAACAUGACUUGUUGCAGGUCCUUUGGAUCAAAUAAUUUCUCCGGAACACUCCCUUCAGAACUUGGUAGCUUAGUCAAUCUCGGGCUAUUGUGAGUGCUUCAUUUAACUCAUCGAAUUUGAAUCACAUUUUGCAAUGUGUAAUUAUUUUCUCGUAAAGGAGCGAUUUAUUUGUUAAUUCAUUAUCGAUGACCAAGGAAUGCGUUUAUCGUACGAAAUUGGUAGCAAUCAGUUUAUUAUUUUCACAGUUACAUGGACAGCUGUGGACUAGGUGGCGAAAUUCCUUCAACAUUUGCUAAGCUCAUCAAAAUGAAAAUCCUGCAAGUUUUUUGUUUAUUCAGUGCUUUGAGAUUUCUAUUCUGGGAUGAGCUUACUAUGAGUCAACUUUUUGAAUUUUAGCUAUGCAUCAGACAAUCCUUUCUUAGGAAAGAUACCUUCUUUCAUUGGGAAUUGGAGAAAACUGACUUCUUUGUAAUUAUGGCAAACUUUUAACCUUCUGCAGUUUAUGAAAGCAAAUCUGCAUGGCUGAGAUGGGUCUUUUAUUCACAAGCAUCUCAAAUGUUUUUGUAGGAGAUUUCAAGGGAACUCUUUUGAAGGCCCAAUACCAACCAGUUUUUCUCAACUGACUUCAUUGAAAUCUCUGUAAGGGCAAGUGCUUAAGACAUUUUAUACUCUCUCUCUCUCUCUCUCCCCCCUCCAUUUACUGGGCAUCAUUUAUGUUUGUGUAUGAUAAUGAAGGCGAAUCAGUCAUAUAUAUUAUGUGAGCUCGUCUCUUGAUUUCAUAAGAAAUUUGAAGAACUUAACUGAUUUGUAAGUUAACACCUCAUUCAUUCAUGCAUUGUAAUCAAACUUUGUUUUCAUUUCAAAUUGAAAAUCUUACUCUAUUUACUUGUCCACUAAUUUUUUUUUUUGGUGGUGUAACAGAGUUCUACGGAAUACAUUAAUCAAUGGUAGCAUCCCUGCUGAUUUUGGAGAAUAUCAACGUUUACAGAUACUGUACGUUCCAGCAGAUAUAUAAGCUUGAAUCCCAAAGAUACCAAUUAAUUUUCUUAUCAUUCUAAUUGUUCCUUUAACUUAUCACUCAUGUUGCAGCAGGGAUCUGGGUUUCAACAAUUUAACAGGCGAACUCCCAAGUUCUUUGUUCAACAUGAGUUCUCUUACAUAUUUGUAAUAAGGCCUGCCUUCAUUAUUCCCCUUUUCUGUACUUAUGCCAUUGAAUUUCCUGCUCAGAAACUUAGUCGUUCAUCUGACCUUUUUCUUGUUUCUUUGUUUCUUUGUUUGUUUCUUUGUUUUUUUUUUUUUUUUCUGGGUGCCUCCUAUAAUUGAUAUGGCCAGAUUUCUUGGAAACAAUAGUCUGUCUGGACCUCUUCCAAGCCAAAAGAGCAAUCAACGUCAAACUAUGUAAGUCCUAAUGUCAUAAAAGUAUGCUAUAUGUACUGGCAAUGAAACUAGUACUCUGUGUGUGUGCGCGUGCAUUCUGGCAGCCUUUUUCUUACUUAAAUUCCUUUGAACUUUCAUGCAUUUUUGUGCCUUCUCAUUCUGUAUUGUUAUGUGCAGAGAUUUGUCUUACAAGUAUUUCUCAGGAAGCUUUCCCCCAUGGUUAACCACAAUAUCGCAACUGUAUGUCUCCUUUUUAUCUUUCACUUCCAUUUUUAUGGUCCAAAUCACCUUCAUUGUGCAUAUAUAAUACCACAUGAAUGAAAUUCAAUAAAUUAGAAGGGAUGGAUUUGAAGUACUGAUAUGUUGUGAUCUUGAACACGAAAUUUUCAUCUUCAUAUGUGGAUUGAUUAAUGAUUUUAUGCAGGAAUUUAGUGGUCAACAACUUCACAUUUGACAGUUCAAACAUAACUUGAGUUGAAUCGAAAUACCCUUUUUUUUAGACGGAUAGUUCAAACAUAAAGUGAUUGCUAUUACACAUUUGCACUUUAAUGGAUUCUUCCACUACAGUUUAAUUAUUAUAAAUAAUAAUUGUUCUCUGUGUUUACAGUCUUCCUGGAUUGAAUUGCCUCCAGAGGAAUUUUCCAUGCAAUCGAAAUACCCCACGAUGUAAUCUUCUUCUAUAUUUCACUAGCAUUUAUUUUUUUAAUGCAAGAUUAUGUUACAGCAGUAGGCAUUGCUUAUCUCAUUAUGUAUACAUAUUGUAGGAAUGUCUUGAUAAAUCUAGUAAGCAUAUCUUGUGCUAUUACAUUAGUUUGAAGUUUUUUCACUAAUCAUAGCUUGUUCUAUUACAUUGAAUUGUACAGAUACAAACUUCUCAACCAAGUGUGGAGGACCACAAAUGAGAGGAAAUGAUGGCAUAUUGUAUGAGGCUGAAGACUCAGCUCUUGGCCCAGCAACAUUUAAUGUAACCAGUACACAGAAAUGGGCUGUUAGCAAUGCGGGUUUUUCUGAUAAUUUGAAUCAAUCAUUUGUGGAAACCACCUUACGCAAGUCUCCAGUGCAGAUUUCACACCAGAGCUUUUCGAGACUGAGUGUCCCCAGGUUCACUGAGAUACUAUGGCCUGGGUCUUCAGAAUGGACCUUAUACUGUAACAUUGCAAUUUGCAGAAACGGUUUCUGCUAGCCGCGAUACACAAACUUCACAAAGUCUAGGAAGGCGUGUACUUGAUAUCUAUAUUCAAGUAAGGCUGCUGAUAAAGAAAAAAAAAAACUUAAGCUAAUUAAAGUAAAGGCAACCUCAUUAGACGGAAUUACCUAGAUAUUCAUCUUUUCUGGGCUGGUAAGGGAACAUGUUGCAUACCUGAACAAGGUGAUUCAGGUAUAUAAUAUCAGCUGUCGAUAGUUGCUCAGAUACACCAACUACUCCAGGAAAGAAGAGCAGGAUUGGGUUGAUAGUUGGUAUUGCAGCGUCCCCGUCGGAGUAGUGAUCUUGCUAUUAUUAUUUGCAGUUUUAUAAAUGCGGUGAAAAACAUCAAAAAAAGAUGACGAUGAAGGUAAAAUAGCAAUGAGCAGAUUCUUAAGGGUUAAUUCUGCAUGCGGUUCUAGGUUCCUUCUAGUGUUGAUAAGCAUAUUUGAGAGAAAAUACUUCUGAUAUGUUUUUUCGAAAUUUAAACCUAUGUCAUACUCUCUUUUGAAUAUGCAGAUCUUCUAGGAUUAGGUCCCCGACCAAAUACUUUCAGUUAUGCUGAGUUGAGAGCUGCAACAGAAGAUUUUAAUCCUUCAAAUAAGCUAGGAGAAGGAGGAUAUGGACCUGUUUAUAAGGUGAAAUCUAUUUUACAUCAAUAUCUGCUACUGUAAAGUAACGACUUUGACUUCUUACAAAAAGAAAUUGAGAGAAGCAAAAUAGAUUCUUUCUACUUCCCUUUCAUGUCAGUCACUGCAUUGUAUUUCUGUUUAUAGGGUACACUUUCUGAUGGGAGGGUAGUGGCUGUGAAGCAACUUUCAAUAGCAUCUCACCAAGGGAAGAGUCAAUUUGUAACAGAGAUUGCUACGAUUUCUGCAGUCCAACAUCGCAAUCUAGUGAAAUUGUAUGGAUGCUGCAUUGAAGGAAGCCACCGUAUUUUGGUUGAUGAGUAUCUUGCCUUGAUCAGGCACUUUUUGGUAGGUUUCAUAGAAACAGAAUACUCUGCAGUUUCAAGUACUCCAAACGUUCAUCCAAGUUUUUUACGCAACCGUUUGUUAUAAUUUUCUCUGCUGAGGAGUGAAGAUUAAAGAAACCAAAAGAGUAAUUAUCUGAAUCAGAAUAUUCUGCAGUUUGAAGUACUCUGAAGUUACAUCCAAGUUUUUUCCUUGAGAAUAAAUCUUCUUUCACUGCCUGUUGGUUUUCUGAUGGAAAAUAAAGAAAGAUGAAAACUCAUGCUAGUUAGAUUUUAUUAGUUUUUGCUCUGUAUGAGGGAUUAUUCAAUUAAGUAUCCUAAACAAUUAAAAUAUGUUAAAGCUCUCCCCAAUUCUCAUAUCAAAAACAUAUUUUCAUUAUUUUAUUUUUUACCUCUUUCUCUUAUAUGUGCAUUGGUUGUUUUUCCAUGUAUUGUUUCAGGAAGAAAUGACUUGCACCUUGACUGGCCUACCCGCUUCAAUAUAUUGCUGGGAACAGCAAGAGGACUUGCUUGUCUUCAUGAGGUGUAAAAGCCCAGGAUUGUACAUUGAGACGUCAAAGCCAGUAAUAUUUUGCUAGAUACAGAACUCUCCCCAAAAAUAUCAGAAUUUGGAUGGGCAAAGCUUUAUGAUGACAAGAAAACACACAUGAGCACCCGGGUUGCAGGCAUAAUGUAAGCCCUCGUUUAUGUUAUACAUUGUUAAUCAUGACUAGGGAGGGUGUAAUCCAAGCAACAUUUUUAGUAAGCAUGUGAUAAUCUUCUAGAGGCUAUUUGGCGCCGGAGUAUGCAAUGCGCGGACGUCUGACAGAAAAGGCUGAUGUUUUUGGUUUCGGGGUUGUUGCUUUGGAGAUCCUCGGCGGGAGACUAAAUUCUGACGACAACUUGGAUCCUGAGAAGAUUUAUCUUCUUGAAUGGGUAGGAAAACUUUGCCUAGCUACUUUUACUUUAGCAUUGCUGUGAAAACUUCUUUAUUUUUUUCCUUUUUGACCAUGCCAUGAUGUAUGUUUUCUGGCAUGGACUCUACAUGAAAACGACCAGAGUCUGGGGCUGGUGGAUCCGAGAUUGACAGAGUUUGAUGAAAAAGACGCAACUAGAUGUUAGGAAAAUAAUCAGUAAAUGUUUUAUACUAUAGGAUCACUAAAUUAUUGCACAAUUCUUAAAAUAUAAACAGUAGCAAAAUUACGAAAUCUGUAUAAAUGUGCAAAUAUAUAAAUUAAGUACAGAAUAUUGACUUUUAUUGAAGAUAGAGGCUUGCGUAUUUGAAAUGUCCUAAAGACAGAAUUUCGCCUCUUCUCAGUGCUUGAAGUUCAACAGGAUUCAACUAUCUAUAAUUCAAGGGUCCAGCACCGAAUCCUUGAAUUCUGGCGAACGUUGGUGUGCUUCUCUCCAAUACAGUUGGUAACUUUAAAAUAAUAUGAGAUAGUUUUAAGGAAAAAGAGAUACGUCUUAUGGCUUAGGACUUGUGGUUUUAUAAUAGAAUUACACCCUUUCAAAAUAGCAGUUAGUAUCAGUUAUACCUGUUCAAAUUCAAACAAAAAGAUGUCUUUCUGGUUUGAAUUUAACUUCUGCCAAAGAAAUCCGAAAAAUAAAAAAUAAUUAGUUUAUUUUCGGGCUAGGUAUAUUUCUUUUAUUUUCCAGAUACCCAAGGCCCAAGGCUCAAGUCUUGAUUAUUUAAAUAUUAAUAUUAAUCAAGCAAGCCAACCAUGAUAGUCUUCAUUACCAAGCCCAUCAGCCCACCAAUCUUUAUUUAAUUGAUGUUAAGGUUUCAUGCUUAUAAAGUAUAUGGAACCUUUUGUUUUCUCCAAUGUGAGACAUUUGCUUUCAAACUUCCAACACUAGAUUGAUAAAAGCAGCUCUCAUAUGCACUCAGGCUUCACCAAUGAUGAGGCCAUCGAUGUCACUUGUGGUGGCAAUACUUUCUGGAGAUAUUGAAACAAGCACUGUUAUGUCAAAGCCAUGUUAUUUGGUAGAUUGGGAUUUCAAAGAUGUAACCACAAGUAGCUUUUUGGUGGAUGAUGACACCUCAUCAACUGAGAGCAAUGUUCUCCUCAACCAUCAGUGUAGAAAAUAUAUUUCCCUUGUAUUUAACAGAUUACACAAAGUCCCUAUUUAUACUAGUACAGGAUAUCUACUUAAGGUAGGAAAUAAUAUAGACAUUAAUACAAUCCGAUUUACAACAGGAAAGGCUAAUUGCUAGGAGGAGAUUGUGAAGUUGACUUCCGUGUAGGCUAGGAAAGGAAAGCUGUGUUAACAAUCAGCCUGAAGGGAGCACAACUGGUGCUAGCCCCGGGAUUGACCCAACCCCGUCUCCGGUAAAUGUGACUGGAUCAAUGCUCACUGGCAUUAUAGGAGAAGAAAUGUGAGAAGUAAGAAGUUUCCAUUGUCUUUCCCUUGCUGUAAAUCUGUGACUCACUCACUGCUAAAACUUUUCUACAUUUUGUACUAGUCUUUGUGUCUUUCUGCCUUUAGUUUAUGGGAAUGAUGAUGUAUAUAGAAAUAAGAUACAAUGCUAUAGAUAUCUAGUUGCCUUAAUCGGCCAUUGAAUAAUAGAAAAAUUCAUUAUUAUUAUCAAACAAAUAGAUGGGUUAUGGUAGUACGCGUCAUGUAAAUGUUGGCUAGGUAAGCGUCCUGUCGUAAGAGUAGUAGUUAUGAAUCCUGUAGACCAUCCCCAAUUGAUAGGGAAAAAAAACCCGCAACCCCUUUUGGGGUUAUCUUGCACUUGGAAGAAGAAGUAGAAAAAGGAAUAAAUAUAGUGAUAAUUAAUAAUUUCAGUGUUUGGAUUUAUGUAUAUUGAAUCAGGAAAAACGAAUUAUUGCUCAAUAGAAAUAAUCUCAACCCUCAAUUUCCACGAUUUUUUCCACAAGUCAUUUAAUAAUUUCUCUGCUUAAGUUGCAAACAAUGAAAAUAUCAAUUUCUCCUCUUCAAUUCUUAACUUUUAAAUCCUAAACCUCCAGGGCAGAUUGGCACCAGACCAUACAAUAUACAAACAUUUGCUCUUCUAGACAGAAUCCAAAACCGCAAGACCAGAUUGGAGAAGCUUGAGUUGUUUGCUGGGCAGCUGAUUAAGGAAAAAGAGAGGAGAAAAACUUGCUUCUUGCCAACAAUGGUUUUAAAGCAGACUUGUCCAACUUCGCCUAGUCGAACACCAUCUGCCACAACCCUAUUAACCAUGUCAUCUUCAUGUUAAGUUAAUUUGUCUUAAUUACUACAUUAAGCAUUCACAACCGGUCGGGAUGUAUGAAUUCCUUUAUAUUUUUAAUUUCCAUCGUUUACUUUAUUACUACUUAGCACAUGUCCACAUGGUGUUACAAAAAUCACAAAGAUCAUAACAUGUGGCAUGUCAAGGUGUUACUGUAAUAUCGAAUAAUUUAUUCUUAUAUGGGUUUUUUUUGUUUGUUGGUUUGGAUGAUGAGAUUGGGCUGUAUGUUCUGAUUUGUGGGCCCAACUCAAGUUUGUUGGUCCUUGUGUAUUCUUUCAGCUGUUGGGCUUCGUUCAGUAAACAAAAACCGAAAUCAAACUUACAUUUUUGAUUUUUGAUUAUUUAUUUUUAUAUAAAAAAUGAAAACUAAAUCUGGAUUGAGUUGGAUACUUGGUACACACGGAAGGCUCUUCUGGGGGUGUGUCUGCAAGACACACGGAAGGCUCCUAGGGAGGUGUGUCAGACCCAGUCACCCUUGGGUGGGUGGAUUGUAGAACCCUUGGCGAGGCUGUCUGCUUGUGUAUGAUGGAGAUUUCAGCAGCACGUUUAUUGAGGAUUCUACCGUACGUGUUUGGGGAGCAAAGUUCUCGUGUUGGACUGCUCUACCCUAGUCACAUGUGUAUUGAGGAUUCGGUCAUGUAGUUUAGUUGUAAUAAUCCCCAUGUUGGACUAUUCAUUCCCGGUAGAUGUUUAGCUGUGGUGCAUAUGUAUAUUCUUAUAUAUAUUUUAAAAGGAAAGUAUACCAGGUUUUGGAUUUGUUGGGCAUGUGCAUUGAGGGCACUUUGCUUGCACAGGUAUGAUGAUUUUUAUGUGGUUUCAUAUUUGGGAUGGAUAUCUUGAUCACUGGAUUUAUACUAUGUUUUGCAAGCCUGUGCCUUGGGAAGGGUAUGUUUGUGGGAGAGUAUUUGAUUAUGAAAUUUCCUUAUUAUAUGAUAUAAUAUGGAUUUCGGAUUUACAACAUAUCUCAAGUAUCAAAAUAUACUUAUAUAAAGGAUUUCAAUUGCAUGGUUGGUAUUAUUAAACGAAGGGGGGUUAGCAUGUUCAUUAUAGAUUAUGUUUAAAAUUUUAUUUUUGUCCACUUACACCUUUCUUUUUUUUCGCCCCUAGACUGUAGCUCUACAAGAUCCAUGAAUCCACAUAGAGCUUUUCUUCCAACGACUCCGUUUCCUUCCUUAAGACUUCUUGUUUGUAGUUCGUGGAACUAGCUUCUGUUGUAAUUAAUUCUACUUACUUAGUAUGCUCUAGUAUUGCCCAUGUUAGGGUUGGAUUACUAGCAUGAGACCUUUUGAACUGUAUAAACUUGUGUUCUUUAACAUGUUAUUGCUAGAAGUUUGGGAUUUCUUUAUUACUUGCUUUACAGGUGGAUUUUCUUUUUGGGAAUUAAUCCUUUUACAGGGAAGACUCUGCCAAAUGUUCGAUAGAAGUCUUUGCCUUUCUUGGGAAAGAAGGGCAGUCUAGCAGCGUCGGCCAGAUGUCGGAUGGACACAGGGUCCGACUCGAAUUCCGAGAGUGAAUUCGGGGCGGGUCCUGCCAGAUGGUCGGGUGCUCAACCUGUUUAUUCUCCUAUGGAACAAAAUUUGAAGCUUACAAAUAGAUAAGGUAUUACCCCUCACCUUUUUGAAGGCUAGUAGAUAGGCUAAUUUAUCUUACUAUUACCAAACAUGACAUCACUUAUGCAGUCAAUAUUGUAAACCAGUUUAUACAUCAACUAAGGAAGCCAACUUGGAUGCUGCAUUUUGAGUUCUCUGUUAUUUGAAGACUAGUCCAUGACAAGGUCUGCGUCUUUCUUCUAAGAGCGAGUUGAGAGCCUUAUGUGAUUCAAAUUGGGCAAAUUAUCCUAUAGCGAGGAGGUCAGCAUCAGGUUACUGUAUUUUUCUUGGAGUCUCAGUUAUCUCAUGGAAGACAAAGACAAAAAAUUCUCCCCUGUGGUUUCGCUAAGGCAUAAUAUAAGUCCAUGGAUGCUGCAACUUGUGAAUUAACUUAGCUGCGAUACCUUCUCAAAGACUCACACGUUACCAAUCUUGGACUCGCAAAACUAUUUUGUGAUAAUUACGUUGCUUUGUACAUUGCAACUAUAAUCUAGUAUAUCAUAAGCGUACAAAGCAUAUUGAAAUUGAUUGUUAUGUCAUCAAAGAAAAGAUUCAAGAUGUUGAAAUUGUUACUUUAUUUGUUCCUUCAUCCUCACAGGUUUGUUGACUUGCUCCCCAAAGCAUUGGGCAAUGUUGCGUUUCCUAAUUUCGUGCACAAAUUGGGCAUUAUAGAUAUUCAUGGUCCAACUUAAGAGGGAGUGUUAAGAAUUCUAAAAUAGGAAGUUAUUUUGCUUUCUUAAUUUAUGAAAGUUUGUCAUUGACUUAGCUUAGGCUCCAAGUAUUUGUGUUUCCUUGCAAAGCUAUGUAAACCUGGUAUAUAUAUCGAGUUUUUUUAUUUAAACCCCACACUUUUCUUAGUUCACCCCCAAUACUUAAAUCAUUAAGCUCUUAAGUUUUAUUAUUAUGUAAAAAGACCAAAAAAGGUCAUCCAACUUGAUACUUAACCCUAGCUAGUACAUCUAUACGCACACUCCACUACUCUUCAUAUUAAAGUUUAGAAAAAUCCAAACUCCUCUACUAGUGGCGGACCUGUGCAGGUGCACAUGCACCUCUAGUCGUCCAAAAACUACAUAAGAGAUGCUGGAGUUGCACCUCUACUCAGACUAGAGACGCACGCAAGUUCUUCGAUGAAAUGCACAAAUGACUCACGUUUGCGUGCUGCGCGUAGCGCCCGGGCUUCUUUUUUUAAAACUAAGCCUGGCCAAAACGAUGUUGUUUUGGACCAAGCGCUGCUUUAUAGAAAUUAUAAAUAAAUAAAAAAUAAAAUAAAAAAACUUGGCCAAAACGAUGUUGUUUUGGACCAGGGUUUAAAAAUAAUUAUAAAAAAGUACCCAAAAAAAUAGGGAAACUGAUGGGCCAUUCGUGGGCUUCUAAAAAGGCUUUAUACUUCUUGCCAAAUUGGGUUUUAUUUGGGACUUCUCUUUAUUUAAUUGGGUUUUUGAAAUUCCUUAUUUAAGUGGGAUUGAGAAUUCUCUUUAUAAAAAACCAAUUUAACAUCACUCAAUUUCAUCAAAGUGUGUGUGCAUCACAAGAAUCUUGCGUUUUUUUCCUUCUUGAGUACGCCAAUCCAAAGUAAGUCGGAUGCGUAUAUUUUUUUUCUUGAGCAAACGCCAAUUUUGUUUAUUCUUUUUUUAAUAAAUUUUUUUUUCUUAUUUAGCUCUCUCUGUAUUAGUAAGAUCAGUAGCAAAUUCUUUUUUCUUAUUUAGCUCUCUCUGUUGAUUAUGAAUAACAUUAGUAUUGUUUAAAUGAUAAGGAUAUUUAGUUGUCUUUUUUUUUUCUUUUUUUUUUUUGAGCUCUUAGCUUUUAAAAAUUGCACAUCCGCUGAAAAAUUACUGGGUCCGUCACUAUCCUCUACACCCUAUUGCUAGAUUACUCCUCUUUCAAUCCAAGAAACUACUACACUCUCAUCUUCUCUUCACAAAACCUCCUAGUUCAUUCUCAAUGCUGCUACACAUUUGGACAACAGUGUUUUUAUCUCUUUAAGUAACGUGAGGUUGAGGUGAACUUAGAGUGGUGAGGGUAAGAUAGCGAGGUCCGGGGUGUGAGGUCGACGAGUCUUUUUUUUUUUUCCUCUCUUUCUGCUCGGUGUGUAUUUAGGGUUAGUUUGGGAAAAUAGUCGAGUUUUCUUAGAAAUUGUGAAAUUUUGAAUUAGAAGUUGGGGUGAACUUAGAAUGUGGGGUGAACAAAGAGAAGUGCAAGGUUUAAAUAGAAAAACUGUAUAUAUCAAGCCUUUUAGGCUAAUUAAAUCAAUGUAGAAAAUUAUUCCCAAUUUAAGAAAAUGGAGGUAGCAUAUCCUCUCCCAAACUUAUCACCCACAUAGUUUGGUGUUAUAAUUAGUUUGUAAACAGAUCAUCAUCAAGUGUCUAGUUAAAUUCAUUACAGAAGGAUGAUAAUAAAUUUUAUUCAAGUAAAAACAUACUGGGAAAACAAAUUUAAAUACAUUGAUUCUUGAGUUCCUUAUUAAUUAAAGUAGCACGGGUUCACUUUGUUUAAAUAUAGACGUGCAAGAGAACGUGGAUGCAAAUAUGUCCUUGAGAAGGGGAAACUGCAGGAAAACAUAUAAAAGCACUGGCACACCUGCACAUACAGUUACGAGAAUAGAGAAGACGUCCUUAUGACCGUAAGCAAUAAAAAAGGCCGAGCUAAAUGUAAACAUCAUGGCUGUAAUAGAAAAGAAGAGCAAUGCGAGUCCCAUUUUCAACCGCCAUGAUAAGGCACUAAGAAAAUCUCUUUCAGCAUAGCGUGAGGUGAGGAUGGCCGAGAACGUUAACGUUGCAGCUAGGGCCAACAAAAAUGCUAUUGCAUCUGAAAUGAUGAAAAUUCGAAACGGGGCCGAUUUAACUUGAUGAUUUCCCAUAAUAACAGUAACUUCUGCAGCAAAUAAAGCACUGGCGAUGAGGGUUGAUACGAUUGUGCAUGAUUGUGCUGUUCCGUUCAUCCAUGUCUGUCCAUCUUUUAACAACGUUGCAUGUUCAGAAGUGAAUAAUUCUUGAGGUGUUUCGCCUUUUGAAUUUUUCAUCUGUAUAUAAGAAGGUUGAACAAUCUUUUUCACCUCCUGCAUAUGCCAGAUUGGUUGCUUAAUUGCAAUAUUAACAUGUAUACAAAAUACAAUUUCAGUUAACUAGACAGGCAAAAUCAAGAUCAUGGUGAAAGUUAUAGAAACUUCUAUGAUAAAUUAGCCAAGGAUGCAAUAUCGUACGACUAUGAGUAUUAAUUUUUUGCAGACACUGAACAAUUUUAUAACAAUUGGUACAUUAAUUUAAGGAGAGCCAAGAUUUUUCCUUAAACUAAAACUACUUAGCCGCCAUUCCCCUCUGUAGACAAAUCACAGUCCGACGGGUGUACAUAAACUUUUCUCUUUGCAAUUUAAUGAGCUACUUUGCAUAUGUCAGACUAUGAUUUGUCGGCACGGAGUAUGACUCUUUAUAUGUAAUAAUUAAGCAAAGCAGUGUCCUAAUUAAAACAGAGAGAGAGAGAGAGAGAGAGAGAGAGAGAGAGAGAGAGAGAGAGAGCGUGCGUGUAGUUUGGUACCUCAAACCAUAAUAAUUCACGUCGUAUUUGAAAACCUGCUCCAGCUAGUCUGUUCAGCUGACUUACCGGAGCUGAUCUUGCAGCUAAAUGAAGUAAAGUGCUCCCAUCUUCCUUGUCUUUAAAGGUAGCUAUCACAUUCUUGACAAUGCCUACCUCAUAUAUUAAACUAAAGAUAGUCUCAUGACGAUGCCAAACUGCUGCAUGUAUUAUGGUCCAUCCUUUGCUAUUUCUUUCCCAUACCAGACCAGGACACUCGUAAAUAAGCUGAGCUACAAACUCGCAAUUUCCUAUUUCCAUUGCGUCAAACAAUAGAUGCGAAGGACUUGUUAGUACAUCAAUUAGCUUUGCCUUUCCAUGUUUUGCAACUUCAAACCAGAGUUGUUUGACUAAAGCUUGUUCUGGAUUUUUAUCUGUAGUAGUAGUGAUCGUGAAAGAAAGUCAGUGCUUAAUACCGUGAUGAACACAAAAUAUGGAUUUUUUUAACACAUAUAUAUAAAGAAAGAGAGAGCGCAAGAGAGAGAGAGAGAGAUUCAGUUGAGGGAUCUCCCAAAUAAUACCAUUUAGGGUCCCCUACAAUUUUUUUUUUUUUUUUUAAGAAUCCAAACCGUCUAUUUUUCAAGUUUUCAUUCAUAGAUCAUCCUUGCAAAAAAUGACGCAUAUUGAAAAUCAUGGCACCUAGUUGGGACUAACAAAAUAGAUGAACAAGGUGCUUCAAGAAAACACUAUAACAACUAUCUAAUUGAGUGCCCAAAUGGUUUCAGGUUCAAGUAAUUUUUUGUAGAGAUGAUCUUUGAGAUUAUCCAAAAACUAGAUGGUUCAGAUCAUUGGAAACACAAUGCAUGAUAUAUAUAUAUAGGGGCGGAUCCAUGGCACUACGUGUUUGAGACAAGUUUUGACACAAUUUUUAGGCCAUUAAAUUACUCCACUUUCAAUGACUGAAAUUAUACCUGACAUGACUUUUUGACAUAAAAAAUAAAUGAAUAAAAGUAAUUUUCUCUCUCUUCUCUCUAUUUUCUCGGAAAGGUAAAUUUCUCUCAAUAAAUCAUCUCUUUCUCUCUUUCCUCUUCCUCUUUCCAACACGUUCUCUAUUAACUCUCUCUCAUCAAAACCCAAAAAAACCCUUCUUGCUCUUCACUGUUUCUUUCUUUCCGUUUAUCUCUUCAAUUUUUUUGCUCUAGCUGCUCAAACCCUUGUGUCUUGAUGUUCUAAUGAAAUCCUACAUAUUAGGUGAAAUGUCCCAAUUUUUACUUUGUUUUUUGUCCUUUUUUUAGUAUAAAAAAUGCCAAGUUGUGUUACCUUUUAACAAGCUUGGAUAUCAUGGUGAAGAAGAAUGAUACCCAAAUAAUAUUUUGAAUUCGCAUAAACUUCCUCACUGCUACUAUCUAUAAGACUUGAGAAAUGGUGGUAAAUUGAUUCACAUAACUUCAAUUUACAAGUUCCUUUUUACAAGACCAGGGCGAUAUUAUGUGUUAAGGCUUUUAAUGGCUUAGUUCAAAGUUGAAAGCAAAGAUUAAAAUCCCUAAAUCCUAUACCCAAAGAUUCAGAAACAUUGACAACAAUUUGAAACCCAUUGAUAUGAAUAACUUCAUUUCUAGAGGUACCUCUUCUUGCAGUUAAAGAGAAUGAAAGAGAGAGAAAUAUUAACAAGUUUUUUUUUUCGUCUGAUAAAAGAAAGAGUUAGCAGAAAACGUGAUGGGGAAGAGAAAGAGGAGAGAGAAAAAAAAUAUUUUGGGGUGAGAAAUUUACCAACCCCAAGAAAAUAGAGAGAAGAGAGAGAAAAACAUUUUAAUUUAUUUUUUAUGUCAGAUUUAAUCUCAUUCAUUGAAAGUUGAGUAAUCUAAUGGCCUAAAAAUUGUGUCAAAAACUUAGUGUCACGGAUCCGCCCCUAUAUAUAUAUUGUCUCCUUCCAUUGAGGGAUCCCUCAAAUAAUUUUAAAUUUUAUUUGAUGGACACCAUUUAUGGUACCCUACGAAUUAUUUUUUAACAAUCCAAACCAUCUAUCUUUCAAGUCUUCAUUCAUAGAUCAUCUUUGCAAAAAAUCAGAUAAAUUUAAAAUAAUUAAGAUAUCUAAUUGAGACGAACAAAAUUAAUGAACACGAUACUUUAUUAUUAUAAACUCACAUCUUUUGAAGCUCGCAAAUAUUCCUGGACUUCCUCGUGGAUAUGAUGAAGGCUUUGGCUUUUGGGCCAAUAAAUGCAAGGCUGUCUUUCUAUUACGAUCACGUUUUAAAGCAAAAUCCGGAUGAUCUUCUAGCAAUUUUGAGGCUAAACCUGCAAGCACUCAUAUGCGCAAGCCACAUUACUUAGAGAUAUUUUGAUGCAUAUAUUUUUAACUGACAAUGAAUAUUAUUCAAAAUUCUGCCUCAUUUUAAAUGUUUAUAGUGAUGGAAAAAUAUUUUCGACCUCACUUCAAAUGCAUAUCGAUCAGUGAUUCAUUACCAUCUUAUAUCCUUUGUAGCCAUGUACAAUUUAUUUAUUAUUUUAUAAAAAAAUUCACCAUCAAUAUUGUGUGCAUUUGUGUAUCUAUAUCUAUGAGUGCUGCUAUUUCCACGUCCUAUUUCCCCACCCACCUUAUCUUCCCACCCACUAUGUCAAUUUGAAAAAAUACAAUCCUAUUUUUACACUCACCAUUAUUCCUAAAAUACCCUCUAAUUAUUAAUUCAAGCAAAUUCUCCUUACUUUCAUUCAACCUCUGUCAAUCAAAACGCGUGGGAUCCUCUGUAAAGUAUUAUUAAAAUAAAAAAAUAAAGAAAAUUAGUCUCAAUGUUCAUCGUCUCGCCACUGAACAAAAAUAAUAAGAGAGAACUGUCAUAAUUAGAAAGAAGGCUUGUGCCCUUGGGUUCAGAAACUGAGGAGAAAUCUGAUGGAAUUGGAUUGGACCCAGUUGGAAAUUUUGAAGCUUUAUUGGAAUUUUGAUUUGGGUUUGGUCGGAAUGAGGGAGAGAAGGGAGGGUUUGAUAGGGAUGAAGGAGAAUAGGUGUUUUUUUAAUCUAAGUCCUUAAAAGUCAUUUUACAAAUAGAUAAAUUUGUUUUAAAUUUUGAAGAUAAGGUGGGUGGGAAAAUAAGACAGGUGGGUGGAAAUAGCAUUUCUCAUAUCUAUAUAUAUAUAAAGCUAAAGGUAGAGAAUGGUGAAACAUUCAAAAUACCAGAAAAUGCCGUUGAUUAAUGCAAAUAUUAAGAAUUGAAAUUAUUAAUUAAAUGAGGAUGAUAUGGUAAAUUCACACUUUUUCAUAUUAAAAAAAUAAAAAUUAAAAGAAAAAUCAGAUAAUGUAUCCUAUUUUUAUGGAACACAACUACCCAUUAUCUUUUUUAAUUCAAAAUAAAUUUGAAAUUUAAAAAAAAAAAGUAUUUUUCGUAGGCGUAGAAGCGUUUGUAGAGAGACUAGUAUAUAUAAAGCAAAAGGCAGAGAAUGGUGAAACAUUCAAAAUACCUGAAAAUACCAUUGGUUAAUUCAAACAUUAAGAAUUGAAAUUAUUAAUUAAAUGAGGAUAAUAUGGUAAAUUUACAUUUUUUUCAUAUUAAAAAAAUUAAAAAUAAAAUCAAAUAAUAAGUCCAACUUUUAUGGAACAUAACUACCCAUGUUAUCUUUUCUUAAUUCUAAAAAUAAAAUAAAAAAAGAAAACCAAUUGGCACAUGCAUGAGCAUGUGCCAAAGGGCUAGUAUAAGGGAUGAGAGAUUCAAAUUUUUAACGAUCUUCUAAUAAGUGGUUUUAUUUUUGACGUUCUUCUAAUAAAAAUAUUUAUGAGCAUACACACUUCCUAUAAAAAAAAAGUCAUAGACGAGCACCAUUCUUCUUCUUUUUUGGGGUAACCAGUAAACCUCAAUCUUUAUUCACCGACUUUUUCAUCCACAUCCUAAUUUUUCUCCCUAGGCGCAAACUCCCUCCAACCGCAAAUGCAUGGCAUGUGUCAACCCAAAGAUAGUGAACGUGUCUCUUUGCACUUAAGUUUGAAUCACUUACUUCCGUAAUUAGAUUAAAAUUACUUACCAUCUAUAUUGCUGCUUUGUUUGGACAUCAAAAGAUGGUGUCGUAUCGUUUGUAUAAAAUUGAAUUAAAAAAAAAUACCAUUCUAAUUAAAAAUCCACGCGAGGGACAGAAACGUUGGAACUUACCGUAGAGACCACUAUCUAUGCUUGUGAAAAAUAGCCUGGGCAGAUCUUCUUGUGAAUCUCUAUAUGUGGGUUCAGAAUAUAGAUACGACACCAUCUUUUGAUGUCCAAACAAAGCAGCAAUAUAGAGUGGCGUAUGUCCUUCAAAACCCCGUUGUUUUGGCAGCCCUGGAUCCCUUCGCAUCAUAAUUUUAGCAAUUUUAACGUUUCCAACGGCGGCAGCUACACAAAAAGCAGUAUUUCCUCUUUCGUCUAACAGUCUCAAGUCAUUUAACACCAUCCUACCCAUCAACUUCUCCACAAAGCGAACAUGUCCUGCUCCGGCUGCAACAUGAAGUGCAGUAUACGAUCCCUGUGCGAUAUUGGCACGCACUAUAGACGGCUCGUCAUCUAUGAUCUUUUUUGCUGCUUUCCAGUCAUUUUUUAGUGCAGCUCUGUACAGGGGUACACAUGAAUCUGAAUUUUCUGCUUCUUCUGUACAUAACAAGUUUAAAACACCUUAAAAGUUUAUUGUUAUCACCUACUGGUAUCACUAGACCAAAUGGUCAUUGACAGUACAUUUCAAAUAUUUUAGCUAGUUGUUUCAAUGAUAUAGGCAUUCUUCAAUAAGUAUUUAAAGUUAAGGAUUGGUUAAAUAUUUUUAAUUUCGGCAAUUGGAUUGCAUCUAAGAGAUUACCAACAUUUUUAAUGAUUCGACGACCAAGAUUUGAAGUAUGUAACAAAUUCUUAACAUAAAAUACAUAUUGGAGAAACUCUCAUAAUACUAUUUGUACCAUAUUUGUUGACAACUUUAAUGAUUAUAUGUGGGAUCCAUCUGUAGUAUUAGACAGGUGGUCAAUGUGGUCAUAAAUAUCGUAGAAAUAGCAAUACUCGUUGUGUUAAAUAUAUUAUCCUAUUUGGAUGAAAGUAUGAAUUUUCUGUAAACGUGAGUUAUUUAAAUAAGUAUGUAAAUAUAUUGUGAAUAUUAGGAGUCCUUUAUUAGGAAGGAUUUAUUGUUGUGUCCUUUAUUGAUUAGUGUUUCCUUGUAGAGUAAGGAUUAUAUGUGUAUAUAUUUCAAGGAAGUAAUACAAUGAGAAAUUACCCCGUAAAAUUCUAUUUGGCAUCAGAACUUAGGUUGCCGUAACCCUAGAAUAUUUUUCCGCUGCUGUUGACGGCCGACUCUUUCUUUUCUGCAAUAUUCCCUUGCAGAACGUUAGGCUGUGUGGGUGUGUGUGAUAUUGCCGUGUGUGAUUUGGCUGUGCUGUGUGGAUUACUACCUCCAGAACCGUGUGGAUUGCUACAUCAAGAGCUGUGCACCGUAAGAUAGGAUGGCCUCUUUGGAAGAUAGUGCCUCUUUGGAAGAUAGUGCUGUUUUGAAAUUGGAGGGUAGCUCUCGUACACCAACCAAUACUCCAGUAUUGAAUCCUGUUGUUAUUCAUAAUGAUGCGUCUGCUGUACCAAACACAGUGAAGUUGAAUGGAUCAAAUUAUCCUCUUUGGUCCAAAGUUUUGGAGAUGCACAUCGCUGGACGCGGUAGGAAAGGCUUUGUGACAGGGAGUACCAAGGAACCUGCUGAGAAUAGUGCUGGGUAUGAGACAUGGGAGACAGGGAAUGCAAUCGUAAAAGGGUGGUUGAUCAAUUCCAUGGAACCUGCUAUCAUGGGAUUUUUUAUUCACCUACGUACUGCUAAAGAAGUUUGGGAAGAGGUGGCUCGGACCUAUUAUGAUGGUUCGGAUAUUUCUCAAAUUUAUGAAUUAAAGGUUAAAUCCUUCAGACUCCGUCAAGAGGGCCGACCGGUUGGUGUGUAUUACGCUGAUCUCAAGUCCGUUUGGCAGGAGUUAGAUCAAAGGAGACCAAUCAAGAUGGCGUGUGCAGUGGAUCUCAAGACCCUUCGAGAUGAGAUUCAAAUUGAUCGUGUGUAUGCUUUUUUGGCGGGUUUGGAUGAUAUCUUUGAUAAAGUACGUAGUGAUAUUCUACGUACUCAACCCUUACCAUCUGUUGAGGAAGUAUUUUCUGUUGUUCGGCGUGAAGCACAAAGACAUGCCACCAUGAUGAGUGAGAGUAACAACCAAGGAGGGCUGCCAUCCAUGGCCAUGGUCUCUCGGCCCGCCGCUGCCUUUCGUCCUAGUAAUCCUUCUAGUCAGUCUUUAAAUUCUCGUCCAUUUACCCGAGAAAAUAAAGAUGAUUUGAAGUGUACUUUCUGUGGACAAACCCGUCAUACUGAGGAUACGUGUUUUGCCAAGCAUGGGGUACCUGAGUGGUUCCCAGAAUUGAAGAAGAAGCUACGUGCAAAGGAGCGUGGGAGUGGGGGAAAUAAUGGAGGCCGUGCAUCCCUGGCUACUGCCCCACCAAAAGCUAAGGAGGAUGAGACUAUCUCCAAUAACCCGAGUCAAACUUUGUUGACUCGUUCUACCCAUGGUGAUUCAUCCUCCACUAUAGGUACUGUAGGGCAUGUUUUUUUGGCCUCCGACACUGAGCAUCAUGCAGGUUGGAUUCUGGACUCUGGUGCAACAGAUCAUAUGACAUACGAUAAGAAUGUGUUCCAAUAUAUGACAACAUCUCACAGGGAAUAUAGUGCAACUGCUAAUGGUACCCGUGCACCUGUUGUUGGUGCUGGUACCGUGUAUCUCACAGCCUCUCUCCCUUUACACCGAUGUUUGCUUGUUCCAUCUUUAUCACAUCAUUUACUUUCCAUACCACAGAUUACUGAACAAUUGGAUUGUGUUGUUCUAAUGUAUCCGUCCUUUUGUCUACUUCAGGAUAUUCAGACCAAGGAGAUAAUUGGGAGUGGCACUAAGAGAGAGGGGUUGUACUACGUGGAUGAUGUCGUUCCUGGCAGAGCUCAUGCAGUCCGAGUGCUCCGUGGUAGUAAUUUACAAGAAGUAUGGUUAUUGCAUCGUCGAUUAGGCCAUGCAUCCUUUAGCUAUUUAAGGCGUAUGUUGCCUCAUUUAUUUAGUGGAAUAAAUGAAUCAGACUUACAGUGUGAAGUAUGUAUUCUUGCUAAAAGCCAUCGUGCUUCGUUUCCUCCUAGUAUGAAUAAAAGACAUUUUCCAUUUGAUCUUGUGCAUUCCGAUGUUUGGGGGCCUUCUCCAGUUGUUACUUCUUCUGGACUUCGGUGGUUUGUUACAUUUGUUGAUGAUUGCACUCGUAUGACAUGGCUUUAUGUGUUGAAAAAUAAAAGUGAUGUUGGUGCCAUAUUUCGGUCAUUUGCUCAGAUGGUUCAAACGCAAUAUUCUUCCGUUAUUAAAGUUCUACGUUCUGAUAAUGUAGGAGAAUACAUUAAUUUUGAGUUGUCGGAGUUUCUCCAUGGUCAAGGGAUUCUCCAUGAAACCACAUGUCCGCAUACCCCACAACAAAAUGGGGUUGCAGAGCGUAAAAAUCGUCACAUUUUGGAGACAGCUCGUGCCUUACUCCUUGGGGCCUCGGUUCCUCCACGUUUUUGGCCUGAAGCUGUUACUUAUGCCGUGUAUGUCAUUAAUCGUAUGCCCUCUCGGGUGGUUGGAUUUCAAACACCUAUUCAGGUCCUCACUCAACAUACUCCAGUGGUGUCCAGUAAUACUCUCACUCCUCGAGUGUUUGGUUGUGUGGCUUAUGUUCAUAUUCAGAAAAUACAUCGUAGUAAAUUGGAUCCGUGUGCACUACGGUGUGUCUUUGUGGGUUUCUCGUCUCACCAAAAAGGGUAUAAGUGUUACCAUCCUGAGACCCGACAUAUGUAUGUAACCAUGGAUGUGACUUUCUCUGAAACAGAAUAUUUCUACACUUUUGUACCUUCCACUUCAGAUCACCAGGGGGAGAACACUGAUGGUAAUCUGAGUUGGUUGGAUCUAGGGGGAGAUGUGACUAUUGAACAGCGUGUAGAACCUGGUACUCAUCCCCUACUAGGAGAGUCACGGCAAGCUACUAUCGAGAAGAACCUUGCUGUUGAACAACCUUGUGCGGAGCCCAGUAUAACCCUUAUUGAGGAGCCUAGUACACCUUCUCUCUCUAGUUCCGAAGUGCCGCCCAAUACAUCUUCUCUGAAUAUGCCUGAGGUAAGUAUCGUAAAUGAUUGUGUAACUAAUCCAAGUGUAGGUACUUAUAAAUUGCCGCCAAGACAAAAUCGAGGUGUGCCUCCUGAUAGGUUUUCUCCUGAAGGAAAGGUGAAGUAUCCGAUAGCCAACUAUGUAUCAUGCAAUAAGCUUGCACCAGAGCGUCAGACUAUGGUAAGUAAUAUGGAGUCUAUCCAUGUACCAACUCGAGUGGAGGAAGCUCUAAAAGAUCCAAAGUGGGCAAAAGCAAUGGAUGAGGAAAUGUUGGCAUUGCAGAAAAAUAAUACUUGGGAGGUGAUGAAGCUACCCAUAGGGAAGAAGACAGUGGGAUGUCGGUGGGUGUUUACAGUUAAAUAUAAAGUUGAUGGAACAGUAGACAGAUACAAAGCAAGGUUGGUGGCUAAAGGAUAUACCCAAACAUAUGGGGUAGAUUACCAGGACACUUUCUCCCCGGUUGCCAAGAUGAAUACGGUACGUGUUCUUAUCUCUUUAGCUGCAAACAUGGAUUGGCCAUUAAAACAGUUUGAUGUGAAGAAUGCAUUUCUCCAUGGGAAUUUGGAGGAAGAAGUGUAUAUGGAUUUUCCUCCUGGAUAUAGCAAUGGUGGGAACACUGGAGUAUGUCGGUUGCGUAAGUCACUCUAUGGACUUAAGCAAUCGCCCCGUGCAUGGUUUGGUAGAUUUACUCAAGUCAUGAGAAAGAAUGGAUAUUGUCAGAGUCAUUUUGAUCACACUUUGUUUGUGAAGCGUAGACAGAAUAAAGUAACAGCCUUGAUUAUCUAUGUAGAUGACAUGAUUAUAACAGGAAACGAUGUUGAUGAGAUGUCCAAGUUGCAAGGAAAUCUCGCGGUCGAAUUCGAGAUGAAGGACUUAGGGGAUUUGAAGUAUUUCUUGGGAGUUGAAGUUGCUCGCUCGUCAAAAGGUAUCUUCUUGUCUCAACGUAAGUAUGUACUGGAUUUAUUAAAAGAAACUGGUAUGUUGGGAUGUAAGCCGGUAGAGACGCCUAUUGUUGAGAAGCAUCAUUUGUGUUUGGAUCCGGAGCAGAAACUAGUUGAUAAGGGUAGAUAUCAGAGACUUGUAGGGAGACUGAUUUAUUUGGCUCAUACUCGUCCUGAUAUUGCAUAUGCUGUGAGUGUUGUGAGUCAGUUCAUGCAUUCACCAAGUGUGGAUCAUAUGGCUGCUGUUCUGCGUAUCUUGGCAUACUUGAAGUCGGCACCUGGAAAAGGAGUCUUGUAUAGAAAAAAUGGGCAUUUGAGGAUUGAAGGGUUUACUGAUGCGGAUUGGGCAGGUGAUGUAACUAAUAGACGGUCUACUUCUGGAUAUUUUACCUUUGUUGGAGGGAAUUUGGUGACAUGGCGAAGUAAAAAACAGAAGGUGGUGUCACGGUCUUCAGCUGAGGCCGAAUAUAGAGGUAUGGCUCAAGGAAUCUGUGAAAUCCUUUGGCUCCGAAAACUUCUUUGGGGACUUGGGUUUAAACCAAAGGAUACCAUGCGGUUGUUUUGUGAUAACAAGUCAGCAAGAGACAUAGCUGAUAACCCGGUACAGCAUGAUAGAACGAAGCAUGUAGAGGUUGAUCGUCAUUUUAUCAAAGAGAAGCUUGAGAAGAAGAUUGUAUCAAUACCGUUUGUGGAGUCAGAGGGACAACUUGCAGAUGUUCUUACUCAUGCAGUAUGUAGUCGAAAGUUUGGUAACUCACUUGACAAGUUGGGCAUGUGUGAUAUAUAUGCACCAACUUGAGGGGGAGUGUAAACGUGAGUUAUUUAAAUAAGUAUGUAAAUAUAUUGUGAAUAUUAGGAGUCCUUUAUUAGGAAGGAUUUAUUGUUGUGUCCUUUAUUGAUUAGUGUUUCCUUGUAGAGUAAGGAUUAUAUGUGUAUAUAUUUCAAGGAAGUAAUACAAUGAGAAAUUACCCCGUAAAAUUCUAUUUUUUCUAUAUAUUAAACAGCACAAAUAACUCUUUUACAUGAGUUCUGGGCUCAUGACCUUCACCAACAAAGUGAAAGCCACAAGUAUUAGAUCAAAUAGUGAUUAAAAUACUAAAAUAUAUUGUGUUAUUGAAAGUAUUUGAAGUCACUAGAACACUUUAUUUUGAAUGUCUGUUGUUAAAAACAAGUAAAUAAAUAAAUAACUAAAGAUUCAAGGGACUUAUAAUUCAAGAACCCUUUUUAAGUAAUGAAUACAUGAUGCCAUUGCCAAGAUAUUUCUGGAAAAAUAAAUAAAUAAACUUCUCUAGAAGAGGCUUACUUGGUGUUCGACGCUCGUAGGAAGCGAAUGGAUACAAAUCCAAUUUGAUAGUAGAUGGGGUUGAUCCGGUUGGAUUACCAUUAUCGCUUCCUACAUUUGCUGCAGAUAGAAUCUCAUAUUCAUUAUAAUAUUGUUUGCUACGACAACUUCUUUUUAAAAAGAUAAAAAUAUGUAAAUGACUCACUAGUGUAGUAGUUUAAAGUAAUUGCUGCUCUAGGAAAGGUUAUGUGUUCAAGUCUUAGCAUUCGUAUUGUGUGUGAUAGUUUUGUAUAUUAUGGUCCCUCUCAAUAAAAAAAAUCAUAAAUAAAGAAAAAGAUAAAAACGUUAAAUAAUAUUCCUUUAUACGAAAAUAAGAUUUUAUGUCCAACCAAAAUUCUCUAUAAAUAAUGCUAAAAUUAAAAGCCUACUCAUAGGCUCAUGAAUGCAUGUUAGGAAGCUAAUUGAUAAUAAUGUAGUAAUGAAGAACCAUAACACCAUCAAAACUUAAUCUAACACAUAAGUUUAAUCAAAAUACCAUCUUAUUUUAUGAUGAAAAUCUAUUCUUGUACAGUUAAGAAGUCAAUCUUGAUAUUUUUUAGUUAUUAAGACCAUCCACAAUGGGCUCUCUAAAUCACCUUCUUAGCUAAAAUUUAGGGAGGAAUUGAAAAAACUCACCUCUAACCAUGCUUGUUAGAGCAUCCAUAGUUGGGGGGGUUGGUGUAUGAUGGAGUGUAUGUUAAAUAUACACCCGUUGUGAUCGGAAUCAUCCACCAUGGGGGGUGCAAAUGAAUGUAUAAUUACAUCACCACCAUGAUAUGUAAAUUUAGAUGCAAUUGUACAUUCUUUUUUUACAUCUCUUGCAGGUGGGACCCAGCUGAGAGAAGUAGAGGAAAAAUGAAGAAAAGUAUUUAUAUCUUUAGAUUUACAUCGUUUUCUAUUUGAACAAAAAAUGUAUUUACACCCCCUGGAGGUGUAAAGAUGAUGUAAAAGUGGUUUUACACUCCCGAAAAUACAACCCGCGCCCCGCCCCAGCGCGCGCGGAUGCUCUUAUUCAGUUCCUAAAAUAGAGAAACCACUAGAAGCUCCUAAAUCUGAGGAGAGAGAAAGGACUUCUAGUGACUUUCUAUAAUUAAAUGCUAUUAUAUUUUAUUAUUAUUUUUGUGGCAAUUUUGUCCAUUUUGACUUCUUUUAAAAAAUUUCUCUCUCCUUUGGGUUUUUCCAAAGUCUCCCUUUAUUUAAUGAUGUCUUUAAUUUUAUCAUUUUUUUUUCUGCAUUAUAUUGUUACACAACACAAACACUAUAUAUUUUUCAAUUCUUUUCGCUGUAGGUGUUUUGCAAAGCACGAGCACUUUUUUAUUUAAAAAAAUAUAUAUUAUUUUCGCUAUAGAUAUUUUGCAACACAAAAACACUUUUUUUAAAAAAUUAUUUUCCUUGUAGGUAUUUUGCAAAAAAUAAAAAUAAAAAUCUUUUCACAUGAUUUCUCAUUUCGAUAGCAAAUUCUUUCAAAGCAGAAAACCAUAGAAUAUCAAAAUUGAAUAACAAUUAAACUUACAAUUAUUUUGCAAUAUUCAUUAUUUGAAUAUGAAAAUUUUAUUGUAAAAUGAAGAAUUAAGUUAAAAAAGGAGUAAAGCAUUUAUGACAAUUAGAAGUAAAGCAUUUAUGACUCUCCAAAUUAGGGAGUAUAAUUGGAGUUGAAUUUUUUAGAGAGCUUCUAAAAUAGCUUUUUUGUGUUUUUAACUAAAUUUUAGCUAAGAAAUAUGGAGCUUGAUUGUGGAUGCUCUUAGAUGAUCAAGUUAAAUGCCAAUAAAUUUAUGAAUUUCUUUUUUUGGGGGGAAAAGGCUUACUUUUUUAAAAUUGGAGCAAAUGCUUGUAUAAAAUAGAAGCACCAUAAAAUAGUACAAAAGAUAACAAAACUAUCUGAAACUCAAAUAUGAAAGACAGAGACAAUAGCAUAAUCUUUUUAAAAAAUGAAAAAGGCUUGCCAAGUGUUUGGCGACGAGAGGAAGGAGACUGCAAAAAGUCCUGUGGGAUAUUAAAUUCGGUUGGUCCUGUUGUUGCAGAUGGAAACCGAGAUUCAUAAUUGGAAAAAUAAUAUUAUUUAGAAAAAAAAAUUGGAAAUAAAACUACGUCAUUUUAAUAAAUAUGUUAAAUGAUAUUGUAUUAAAAUAUAUAAAUAAAUAAAAAUCAAACGAAAGUAAGAUUUGAUGUGCAACUAAAAUUCUUUCGAAACCUUAACUUCCUUAACUUUAUAAAUAAAAUAUAUAUAUACAGGGUCAUAAUUUGGCCCACGGGCUCAUGGGCUCAUGGGUGCCCGCCCAACCCAUCAAAGAAAAGUUCGGCCUAGCUGCUUGUGGGCUAUGGACCGACCCUACGCAUUCUUUAGACUAAGGUGUUUAAAGCACAACCCAACCACAAGCCCAGCCCAUUUGAGCUAUAAAAAAAAUUAAAAAAAAUUUUAAAAAAAAAGUAAAAACCAACCCAGCCUACCUAUAAAAGCCUAGCCCGCAAAGCCCAUAUACAAUAACACUUAAGUUUAAUAUUAAAAAAUAGGCUUAAUUGCUACAGUGCACCAUGAAACAUUGGUCAAAUUCCACUUUACCCCCUUAAAGUUAAAGUGACCCAAUUUGCCCAUUUGACCAAGGUUUGAUGUUCUACAUUGCCUCCUAUUAUCAACUACAUCUAAAAGUUCGUUAAAUUUGAUGACAUGGCAAAGGUGUUUUAGUAAUUUUAUGCAUCUAGAUCAUUUACUCACCAACAUAUCGUAGAAAUAGCAACACUCGUGUUAAAUAUGUUAUCCUAUUUGGAUGAAAGUAGGAAUUUUCUAUAUAUUAAACAGCACAAAUAACUCUUUUGCAUGAGUUCUGGGCUCAUGACCUUCACCAACAAAGUGAAAGCCACAAGUAUGAGAUGAAAUAGUGAUUAAAAUACUAAAAUAUAUUGUGUAUUGAAAGUAUUUGAAGUCACUAGAACACUUUAUUUUGAAUGUCUGUUGUUAAAAAUAAGUAAAUAAAUAAAUAACUAAAGAUUCAAGGGACUUAUAAUUCAAGAACCUUUUUUAAGUAAUGAAUACAUGAUGCCAUUGCCAAGAUAUUUCUGGAAUAAAAAUAAAAAUAAAAUAAACUUCUCUAGAAGAGGCUUACUUGGGGUUGAUCCGGUUGGAUUACCAUUAUUGCUUCCAACAUUUGCUGCAGAUAGAAUCUCAUAUUCAUUAUAAUAUUGUUUUUCAAUAAUAUUAAGUUACGACUAUUUUUUUAAAUUUUUUUUUUUUUUUUUUUAAAAAAAAACACCCACUAGUAUAGUGGUUUGAAGUAAUUGCUCCUUUAGAAAAGGUCACGUAUUCAAGUCCUAGUAUUCGUAUUGUGUGUGAUAAUUUAUUAUAUUAUCUUUCCUCUCAAUAAAAAAAAUUAUAAAUUAAAAAAGACAAAAACGUUAAAUAAUAUUCCUUUAUAAUAUGAAACAACGAAAAUCAGAUUUUAUGUCCAACCAAAAUUCUCUAUAAAUAAUGCUAAAAUUAAAAGCCUACUAAUAGGCUCAUGAUUGCAUGUUAGGAAGCUAAUUGAUAAUAAUGUAGUAAUGAAGAACCAUAACACCAUCAAAACUUAAUCUAACACAUAUGUUUAAUCAAAAUAUCAUGCUCGUUAUUCAACUCCUAAAAUAGGGAAACUGCUAGGAGCUCCUAAAUAUGAGGAGAGAGAUAAAGAACUCCUAGUGAUUCUCUAUAAUUAACUGCUAUUAUAUUUUAUUAUUAUUUUGAGCAUUUAUUUAAUAAUAUCUUUCAUUUUAUCAAUUUUUUUUCUGCAUUAUGUUGUUGCAAAACACGAACACUAUAUAUUUUUCAAUUCUUUUCGCUGUAGGUGUUUUGCAAAGCACGAGCUCCUUUUUCUUUUUUCUUUUUUCUUUUAUAAAAUUAUUUUCACUAUAGAUAUUUUGCAACACACAAACACAUUUUUAAAUAAUUCUUUUCCUUGUAGUUAUUUUGCAAAAAACAAACACUUUUUUAAAAAUUAAAAAAAUUUCUUUUCACAUGAUUUUUUAUUUUGACAGCCAAUUCUUUCAAAGCAGAAAACCAUAGAAUAUCAAAAUUGAAUAACAAUUAAACUUACAAUUAUUUGGCAAUAUUCAUUAUUUGAAUAUGAAAAUUUUAUUGUAAAAUGAAGAAUUAAGUUGUAAAAAAAAAAAAGGAGUCAAGCAUUUAUGACAAUCAGAAGUAAAGCAUUUAUGACUCUCCAUAUUAGGGAGUAUGAUUGGAGUUGAAUUUUUUUAGAGAACUCCUAAAAUAGCUUUUUUGUGUUUUUAAUUAAAUUUUAGCUAAGAAAUAUGGAGCAUGAUUGUGGAUGCUCUUAGAUGAUCAAGUUAAAUGCCAAUAAAUUUAUGAUUUUUUUUUUUUUUUUUUUGUGGAAAAGGCUUACUUUUUUAUUCAAUUGGAGGAGAUGCUUGUAUAAAAUAGAAGCACCAUAAAAUAAUACAAAAGAUAGCAAAACUAUAUGAAACUCAAUUGUGAGAGACAGAGACAAAAGCGUAAUCUUAAAAAAAAAAAAAAUGAAAAAGGCUUACCAGGUGUUUGGCAAUAAGAGGAAGGAAACUGCAAAAAGUCCCAUGGGAUAUUAAAUUCAGUUGGUCCUGUUGUUGCAUAUGGAAUCCGAGAUUUAUUAUUGGAAAAACAAUAUUAUUUAUAAACAAUUUGGAAAUAAAACUAUGUCAUUUUAAUAAAUAUGUUAAAUGAUAUUAUAUUAAAGGAACCAAACGGAAAUAAAAUUUGAUGUGCAGCUAAAAUUCUUUUGAAACCUUAACUUCCUUCACUCUAUAGAUAAGAAUAAAAUAUACAAAAAAAUAAAAACAAAAAUAAAAACCUAGUGACAGGUACAUGUUACAAGAGUCAUCAUUUGGUUCACGGGCUCACAGGCUGAGGGGAGCCUGCCCAGCCCAUCAAAGAAAAGCUUGGCCCGGCUUGAUGUUGGCUAUGGAUCGGCCCCACCCAUUCUUUAGACUAAAGUGUUUAAAGCCCAGCCCAUUUGAGCUCAAAAAAAGCCCAACCCAACCUAUCAAUAAAAGCCUAGCCCGCAAAGCCCAUAUACAAUAACACUUUAAGUUUAAUAUUAAAAAAUAGGCUUAAUUGCUACAGUGCAUUAUGAAACAUUGGUCAAAUCCUAUUUUACCCCCUUAAAGUUAAAGUGACCCAAUUUGCCCCCUUGACCAAGAUUUGAUGUUCCACAUUGCCUCCUACCGUCAACUCCAUCCAAAAGUCCGUUAAAUUUGAUGACAUGGCAAAGGUGUUUUAGUAAUUUUAUGCACUUAGGUCAUUUACUCAUCAAUUUGAAUGGGUGAUGUGGCAAAGUGGAGCCCAACUCCCAUAUGGGUUAAAAAAAUAAAAGAACAUUAUUUACUUUAAGAAAUUAAAAUACAAACAUAAAAUUUAGAACUUUAAAAAAUUGAAUUCUCUCUCUCUCUCUCUCUCUCUCUCUCUCUCUCUCUCUCUCUCACACACACACACACACACACACACACACAUUCCCCUGACUCUGUCCAAAACCGCAACCCAUUUUUCUUCUUCUUCUUCAACAUUAUGAGACUUUGUAACUCACUCCGCAUCUCCAUGGCCAGCCCAACUCAAACUUUAACCCAACCCGAAUUGCUCCAAACCAUAAUCAGCCUCUUAACCGCUGCCAACCCCUUAAACCUACCUCACGCAGCCCCUCAUAUUUUCCAUUCUCAGCCCCAAAACCCUAGCAAACAAGCCCAGUGCUCUCGUUUCAUUCUUCCAAUGGACCUAGGCCCACGCUCCUUCCUUAAACAAAACCCAUCAUCCCCUCCUCACCUUCCUCCACCCUCUCAAUUGCCACCACAAGUACCCUGACCCUACUCGUCCAAUUCAUCGCCUUCAAUCACCAAAACGAGCUUCUCUGG
rnacentral:lncRNA from 1 species